rnacentral:lncRNA from 1 species
AUAAAGAGAGAGAGAGAGAGAGAGAGAGAGAGAGAGAGAGAGAGAGAGAGUGGUGCUCACACUAGUGGUAAGUUAAUUUAUCUAUGCACUCAACUAAUUUAGUAAUACUUAUANNNNNNNNNNNNNNNNNNNNCAGAGAGAGAGAGAGAGAGAGAGAGAGAAGAAAGUAGAGAUAGAAACGAGAAAUGAAAGGCCAAUAUGUCUUUCAACUAGUCCUUCAGAGAGAAAGCAAAGAGAAACUUUUUUAAAGAAAAGGGAAACAAAGGGCUAGUAUGCCUUUCAACUAGUCCUUCAUAUUGCAAAUGAAUAAAGAGAAAAUAAAGAGAGAAGGCUGGUUUGUUUUUCACUCAGGUCCUUUAAAGAAGAAAAUAGUAAAAGAAGCAAGAAAGUUAAGAGAGACGAAAAAAGGAGAAAAGAGAAAAAGAAGAAAGAGAAGAAAUACACAGAUGACAGCUUAACUGCUAUAUGUGAAGAGAGAGAGGAGACAAAGAGAGAGCACAAACAGUGGCUUAGCUACCAUUUGUGAAGAGAGAGAAGAGAGAAAGAUAACACAAACUAUGGCUUAGCUGUUGUUUAUGAAGAGGGAGAAGUGAGAAAGAGUGAGCAUAGACAACAACUUAGCUGCCGUAAUCUUUCCAUACAAGACUGUUUUGGUGGUCCAAGGGACCACCGUGUGUAGUUUGGUUAUAACUCUCUUGUUCUUUAUCCGAUUCAAUUCAAACCUUUUACAAUCUAUUUUAGAUGAUAAUUCCAAUGUGUUGAGAUCUUAAGAAGUGAUUUUAAGGUGUGUAAUUUUGUCCUAUUGCUAUUAGACACUCUUGUGAGAUUUAACCACUUUUGUACAAUCUGAAAGGAUAAAAUUAAGUCCUUAUAGGGCCCGAUUGUGUGGCUCCAGAACAAGGGGUUCGAAACAUGGCUUUCCUAUUUUAAUUUGGAAAUCUAAUUCCUUGUUAGUUGAUUUUAUUCCUUAGACUUUUUUUUAUAUUAGUCGCAUGAUAUAUUUAAGCUUUGGGACAUAGUUUAUGUAAUUUGUACUACAAAAGUGUAAUUCAUAAGCUAGUCUGCUUUAUAUAUAAUUGCCCCAUAAGGGGUUAGUAUUUGAUUUUAUUUACAAUGGUUAUACAAGGCUAGAAAUUGUUGUAAUUGUCAUUUAAAAUAUGGUAACUUAUUCAGUUAGCUUGGUUUUUAGCAAGUGGCUUGUUGAAGGUGUCCAUUUUGCCUUGAAAAUUUGCUCUAGUCUUUGUAUCCACAAUCAAUUGGUAUCAAAGAAAAGCUCAUUUACAGCCUCUUUAAGGAUCUUUAGAGGGAUUAUAGAGUACCAAAUAGGAAUGGUAGCCCUUUCGAUACUCACUGAAUUGUUUAAGGAGGAGAGGUUCAGUGGAAACAACUUCUCUGAAUGGAGAUGGAAAAUUUGUUAUGUGUUUCAUGAAGAUGGACUAUUUCCAUUAUUGACUUCUAGACCUCCUAAUCCGCCCGCAAUCAAUGCUCCUCAAGUUAUUAAGGAUGCAUAUGAGACAUGGCAUAACAAAAACCAAAGUGCCAUGAAUAUUAUUUUUGCAACCAUGAGUGAUUCCUUUGUUAAGGAGUAUGAGAAUUUUGUAUGUGUCAAAGAUAUUAUGGAGAGCACGAAAAAGAAAUACGACAUACUGAAUGAAGCUCAAAGGAUCAUUAGAAUGAGGAAUCUCAUGUGUUGUAAAAUGGAUGCUCAUACCAAAGUGGGUGAUCAUCUAAGAGAGUUCAAGAGUUGUAUAAGUGAGAGUGAGACAGUCGGUCACUCAUAUGAUGAAGUGACACAAAAGACGAUGUUUGUGCUUUCGAUCUCACCCUCAUGGGAGGCCUUUGUGGCUAAUUUAAUGGCCAAAGAUGCGCCUACAACAGCAGAGGAGAUAACAUUUUUCAAGAACAAAGAAGGAUGGAAAUGGAUGGACUAUCUUCCAUGGUCCAUAUGGUAAAAUCUCACCAACCAUCAUCUUCUUCUACGUCCUUACUCAUUACUCCUAUAUCUUCUUCCCUUUCUAACUCUUCUAUGGUGAAUAUAUGUAAUGUGGGAGUGAUUGGGAGUGAUAAUGCUAAGAACAAGAAAAGAAAGGGAAAUGGCAAAAAGAAAGGGAAGGGGAAGAAAAAGGGAAAAUCUUACUCCCCUUAUCUAUUUAGUUCUUACCCUCCUAAAACCCAUGCCUUUUAGGCCUAAACUAUCACCCACACCCAUGAUAGUAGGUGGGAGGUCGAUUUGGCCCUCAAGCCAAGAUUAUUCGAAGGUGCAAUGCUUUAGAUGCAAGAAAUAUGGGCAUACCCAAAAGUUUUGUAAGUAUCCUCCUGCUCUACAAAACCCUCAUUUUACUCUUCAGCCUAAUACCGGUAAGCCUCAAGCUAAUACUGGUGGAGGAUCAAGGAAAUAGAGAGUUUGUGUGGUCCUUGAGACUUUGAUUGCUAAUGAGGAGGUAGAUGUGGGGGUUCUUGACUUGGGGGCCACUAUUCAUGUGACAAAUUCUAUGAAGGGCUUUAGAAGGUUUUAUGAUGUCAAAAUCAGUACCCAUAAUCUUUAUUUGGGUGGAAAUCAAAUGUAAAAGGUCUUAGGAAAAGGGGACUAUGUGUUGGAGCUCACUAAUGGUGAGACUCUCAUGCUUAAGGACACCCUCUAUGCAUCCAAGAUGAGGAAGAAUCUCAUCUUGAUUUUCAAUAUGAGUAAAACCGGGUUUGUGCUCUUGUUCAAGGAGGAAAAGGUCUAUGUGCUUGAUGGCUCUAGUAAUGGAGACCUUGUUUUUGUAGCCCACUUGGUUCAAGGGCUUUAUGAAAUUAAAAUGAAAAAUGAGUUUGCUUACUUGGGUGAUGAUUUACAAAAUUUUACUUUAUGGCAUUUAAGGUUAGGUCACAUUAAUCCAUCUAGAAUGCAUAUUAUGAUGAAAGAAGGAUUGCUUGAUAAAAUGAAUAUCGAUUCUCAUAAUAAAUGUGAGGCUUGCCUUAAAGGAGAGAUGGCAAAGAAGUCCCACCAAAAGGUCGAAAGGUUCUCUAGUCUUUUAGAACUAAUCCACUCGGUUAUGUGUGGACCUAUGAGUGUGCCUACUAUGGGACACAUGAGUUACUUCAUAACAUUCAUUGAUGACCAUUCCCAUUUUGGUCAGACCUAUCUCAUGAGAAACAAAAGUGUGGCCAGAACCAAAUUCUAAUAAUGUAAAGCGGAAGUUGAAAACCAACUAGGUCAAACCAUCAAAAUCCUUAGAUCAAAUAGGGGUGGGGAUACACCUCCCAAGCCUUCCAAGAUCUUUGUGUCCAAUAUGGGAUUUUCCACUAGACCCCUAUGCCUUACUCACCAAAAAAAAAUGGGGUUGCCGAGAGAAGGAAUAGGACCCUAGUUGCGAUGUUGUGAAGUAUAAUGAGUACCGCUAAUCUUGGAUUAGAGUUUUGGGGGGAGGCGAUUCUAAUUGCCACAUAUGUCCUUAAUCGGACUCCCACUAAAGCAAUUCAAUCAACUCCUUACCACCUCUUCAUGGGCCAACCUCCCUCAUUAAAGCACCUCAAGGUUUGGGGAUGUUCAGCUCAUGUUCUCAUACCAUCCCAAAAUACGUUCAAACUUGAUCCUAAAACCAUAAAAUGUGUUUUCAUAGGACACCCAAGUCAUGGGAAGGGAUUUAGGUUUUAUAACCUCUUAAAUCAUAAUGUGAUUGGAAGCCUUGAUGCCCAUUUCCUUGAAGAUGAAUUCCUUGAGAGAUAAUCAACCCAAAAGAGAGUAGACUUCCAUGAGCUUCAACCUAACAAAGAAAUUGAAACCAUCCCACUUAGGCAAAGUGAGAGAAUAAGGAGACCACCUACCUUUUUCACUUACCUUGGGGAGGACUAUGAGAGGAUUAGUGAAGAACCCGAUGAUGAACCUUAUUCUUACCUAUAUGUUAUUGGUUAGAAGCCUCGAUCUCGUCCUCCGGAUUUGGAUGAUCGGGCGGCAAAUGUCUAAAAAUGGGUGCAAAAAAAUUGUUUUGCCCCUGCCUAACAAUUUGUGGAAUUUCAGAACAGCCCUUGCUGCUGCCCGAGAUCUUGUGUGAACUUCCAUGACUGACCUGGGGGUGUUUUGGUGCUCGUUUGAUCGAAAGAUUAUUAUUUUCUUGUAGGGCUCAACAUGGCGAUCGUUUUGAUACCAACUUUGAGCCAUGAAUCAUGUUUUUGAGACAUGAUCACGAGAUUUAAAUCUUGGAUGAAUCCUGAAAACUUCGGAUCGAUUGUGCCCUCGUUCCUUGAUAUUUCUUCAUGACUUCUUCAUUGAAUUACACUGAGCAUGUCGUCACGAUCACGUUGCAACAAACGUAACUGGAUUUCAUGUCCGGGUGAAGAUUUUGCCGUCUUAAGUUUUUGGCCAGAAUCUUAAUAUCUAGUGGCCAGAAUUUACAGCAGCUUUGGUGCCUUCAUGUGUGAAAUCCAACAAUUCAUCGUACGCGAGGUUUGGAUCAAAGAUGGCCUCGGACCUCUUGCACAUAAUGCAAUUGGUUCCGUGUCGAUCGGGUAUGUGAGCAUCGUGAUCUGGCUGCUCGAACAAGGCGUACAGCUGCUGAAUUUUUUGCAACUUCCUUCACGGAUCUGCGACUUUCAUUUAGUUUUUCUCUUUGCUUGGGCAUCGUCACGGGGCAUACCACAUAUCGAAUUGCUCGUCUUAAUGAGACGAACACGCUCACCAAAUUUGAGAGCGAUCUGACUUGUAACAAAUGAGUUAUAGGCUCGAAAAGUGACUACUCAUGAAUGCAAAAACAGCCACCUUUAAUGGUGUUGUGAUGGAGUGAGGCCACACGGGAAUAGUGUGCAACUAACCCCUUUUUGGUAUUUUACCCAUAAUUUUAUCUUGGAGUGCCCGAUUAAGCUAAAACUUGACCCAUAGGGUUUUUUUACCAUGACGGAUCUAAUGGCAGUGGUCCCACAACUGUUUGAUGUACCAAAAGUAUGGCUCUAGUUACAAGGUCCAUUUUAGGGUGCUAGAGACCGAUUUCACUGAAAUUGUUUCUUUGUGUUCACUGCCUUAGACAUGUAUGAUCAUAAUGAAACUUGGCAGGUGGUAUUUUGAAGUCUUAAGAAAGAUCUUGAUCAGAUUCUGAGCCAUUUUAACAUUGUCGGGAAUUUCCACUGUUUUAUAGGCUUUAUUGACCUGCUUCCUACCAGGGACCAAGAUGCUGAAAAAUACGUUCAAACAGCUAUGUCUUGUUCGUAUCAUAAGUUAUGAAAUGAAGCCAUGCAAGAUGCGAUAAAUUCAAUCAUAAAGAACCAUAUAUGGGAGUUAGUCCAAUUACCACCUAACCUUAGAUCCAUUGAAUGUAAGUGGAUAUUCAAAAAGAAACUGAACUCUGAAGGGCAUUUUGAAAAAUACAAGGCAAGACUUGUAGAAAAAAAUUUUACUAAAAAGGACGGGGUAGAUUAUUUUGGCCCCUAUUCACCUAUUGUUAAAAUGCCUUCAAUUAGGAUGAUCAUAUCUUUAGCAGCCUAACUUGACCUAAAAUUGCUUCAAAUGGAUGUGAAAAAUGCCUUCUUAAAAUGAGACCUAGAAGAGGAUAUAUACAUGAACCAACCUGAGGGUUUUGUUGUGAAAGGAAAGAAAACGUUUGUGUAAAAACUUAACAAAUCAUUUUUUGGUCUCAAAUAAGCUUCAAGAAUAUGGUUCUUCAAAUUCCACUAAACCCUUAUUCGAUAUGGAUUCAAACUAAAUUAGGAUGACCAUUGUGUAUACCAUAAGACCAGUGGGACUGGCAUUACUUUCAUGACUUUAUAUGUGGAUGACAUUCUAAUAACUAGUAGCACCCUAGAUCAUAUAAGGGACACAAAGGCAAUGCUAUCAAUUAAUUUUGAUAUGAAAUAUAUGGGAGAGGCUUCGUAUGUGUUAGAGAUUCAUAUUAUAAGAGAUAGAGCAGCCCACACUAUUCAAUUAUCUCAAUCUACAUAUUGCAAAAACGUUCUUGAGAGAUUUGGUACGAGUGAAUCCAAGCCUAUAGAUAUACUUGUGGAAAGGAGAGAAAAAUUAAAUGUCACUAUAAAACCAAACAAUGAUCUUGAGAGAUAUGAGAUGGAAAGGAUCUCGUAUCAGAGUUCCGUAGGAUCACUAAUGUAUUUAACCAUGGGAACUAGAUCCGAUCUAGCAUAAGCUCAAAGCUUGAUUGGUCGAUUCCAAAGUGAUCCUGAAUUAGAACAUUGGAAAGCCGUGAAAAGAAUCCUGAGGUAUUUGAAUGGAACAUUUGAUUAUGGAUUAACUUAUGGCAAAGUGAGUAAGCUUAAAGUUUUGGGAUACACAGACUCCGACUAUCAAGCAGACAGGGAUGACUCAAGAUCCACUUCGGGUUAUCUAUUUCUUUAUAGGGAUGGUGCCAUUUCUUGGCGCACCAAGAAGCAAGACACUGUAGCCCUAUCUACCAUGGAAGCCAAGUAUAUGGAUUUAAUUUCCACAACUUUAGAAGCCAUUUGGAUUAAGAUGUUCGUGCAUCAUCUUAACUUCAACCCUCAAAAACAUGGAACUAUUAGGACCAUGUGUGACAAUCACGCUGCAAUAGCAUUGGCAGUUGAACCAAGGUUCCACAACAAGUCAAAGCACAUUAAAUAUCAUAGAGUAAGAGAAGAGAUAGUAGUUGGUGAAGUAGAAGUUGGUUACAUUCCAUCUGAGGCUAUGCAUGCAAAUCCAUUAACCAAAGGCUUGGGGGCAAAUGAUUUUGUGAGGCAUGUGCAUGGAAUGGGUUUAAGGAGGUUGACAUAGUUAUUAUUACUUUGUCUAUUACUUGUGAAUGAUAAAUACAUGGAUGAGUAUGUAUGCUUUGAUUUAUUAUGAACGAUAAUGAGAGAGAGAGAGAGAGAGAUGUAUGAAUUCAGGCCUCAAAAGGCCAAGUGGGAGAAUUUUGGAAAUAUGGCCUAUCAAAGCCUAAAUUCCAGUAGUCUGUCAUUCAAUGGGAGCAAUUGAGAGAUUGAAACCUUGACGUCUUGCGAAAUGGAGCCCAGAUUAUUUUACCCCGAGUUCGCAUGAGGCAUAGAGAGUUCACGUGUUAAGAAAGUAAUUUCUCAAGGAGGUGUGAGGGUCUCCUCCUAAUCAGGACUUUACAGGUUAGCCUCAUGUUUAUUUGCAAUUGGCCAGGGCUUGGAGAAUCCAAAUGAGAAAAAUAGAACUCGAGUACUUAUUGAGUAAUUGCCCUGCAUGGAAUGGUCAAAACUUAUAGGACAUAAGUCCGUAUAACGUGGAAAUUUGCUUGGAAAUGGCUUGGAAAUUUGCUCUAGUCUUUAUAUCCACUAUCAGAAUGCCCUCAUCAGCAUCAGGAGCUCUUCUUUAGAUAGACAGCCAAGGAGCCCUUAGUGGACAUUGUUUGCUGCUACACCAGGUUUGCUUUAACAACCAGAGUACCUCUGUGGGCCCCAUCUUGACGGGUUCAUUUUCGGGCAUUUGGUGGGCCUAUCCCGAACUUCUGGUUUAGUCCGAGAGGGAUAUUGUCGAGGUGGCCUUGAAAGGUCUCUACUCUAGUUGUUGUGGGCAAGUAUUGACCUAAUUUGACAGUUUCUUGCUUUUAAAGAGCAUCUUUGGCUUGUCGGAAUGACUUUCCUGUUUUUUCUUGACUUCUUGAGAAUGGAGCUCUUUAGCAUGGAACCCCAACUUGCCGUCUUGGAAAUUUUUUCGACUCUUAAGUCCUUUCAUGAAUGGACUCAGAAUUUUGGACUUUUCUUGAAGCUCUUUCUUUUUGGGUUCCAAUAUUGGAGAUUUUUUCUUUUUGAAGUGCUGGCUGAAGCCGCCUAUGGAGGCGAGUGCUACACCUACCUGCUUAUUGGUCUGAGUGCCCUUUCGGGUUUUUACCUGGACUUGAAGCGGUGUCGUAAAUAUGGUUUUCACCAACUCCUUAUUUUGUUGUGCUCUUUUGCCCAUGAUCAGACGGCCAUGUUUGCCUUUUUUCCAUUUUUACUCACAGUCCCCUUUCAGGUUUUCACCCUGCUCACUUUUUAUUUUAUGGAACACUCGUACUCAUGGUUUCGUGACCAUGACCGUCCCUCAUUUUUACUCAUAGCAUUCCCUUUUCAGGUUUACACCAUGCCCAUUUUUUUUGUGGGGGUGUGUUUAAGGUCAUGCCCCUGGGACCUGGGCUAUGAUUUAAGGUCAUAUAUAGACUUGACCAUUGUGCAAAGCAGUUUAACGUCAUGUGGCCAGGACGUACGCUACAGUUUAAGGUCAUAUAACUUGGACCAUGAUGGAAAUGGAUGAUGGUCUGUGGAGUACAUAGAGUGAGUAUGGUGGUGGUUUAACUCACUUUAAGCAGAUGGCACGAGACUGUUUAUGUAUGAUGGGUGAAGUUUUGUGUGGAAGGUGGAUAAGGGGCGGCCCACUAGCUGUCGGUGAGUAUGGAUGAUGGAAUGGAUCACUAGGGAAUGUCGUGAGUUUAUGAAGGGCAAUGGAGAUAGACUCAUUGGGGAGGNNNNNNNNNNNNNNNNNNNNNNNNNNNNNNNNNNNNNNNNNNNNNNNNNNNNNNNNNNNNNNNNNNNNNNNNNNNNNNNNNNNNNNNNNNNNNNNNNNNNNNNNNNNNNNNNNNNNNNNNNNNNNNNNNNNNNNNNNNNNNNNNNNNNNNNNNNNNNNNNNNNNNNNNNNNNNNNNNNNNNNNNNNNNNNNNNNNNNNNNNNNNNNNNNNNNNNNNNNNNNNNNNNNNNNNNNNNNNNNNNNNNNNNNNNNNNNNNNNNNNNNNNNNNNNNNNNNNNNNNNNNNNNNNNNNNNNNNNNNNNNNNNNNNNNNNNNNNNNNNNNNNNNNNNNNNNNNNNNNNNNNNNNNNNNNNNNNNNNNNNNNNNNNNNNNNNNNNNNNNNNNNNNNNNNNNNNNNNNNNNNNNNNNNNNNNNNNNNNNNNNNNNNNNNNNNNNNNNNNNNNNNNNNNNNNNNNNNNNNNNNNNNNNNNNNNNNNNNNNNNNNNNNNNNNNNNNNNNNNNNNNNNNNNNNNNNNNNNNNNNNNNNNNNNNNNNNNNNNNNNNNNNNNNNNNNNNNNNNNNNNNNNNNNNNNNNNNNNNNNNNNNNNNNNNNNNNNNNNNNNNNNNNNNNNNNNNNNNNNNNNNNNNNNNNNNNNNNNNNNNNNNNNNNNNNNNNNNNNNNNNNNNNNNNNNNNNNNNNNNNNNNNNNNNNNNNNNNNNNNNNNNNNNNNNNNNNNNNNNNNNNNNNNNNNNNNNNNNNNNNNNNNNNNNNNNNNNNNNNNNNNNNNNNNNNNNNNNNNNNNNNNNNNNNNNNNNNNNNNNNNNNNNNNNNNNNNNNNNNNNNNNNNNNNNNNNNNNNNNNNNNNNNNNNNNNNNNNNNNNNNNNNNNNNNNNNNNNNNNAUGGACCGGCUAGGGGAAGCAUGCAUGGAAUGGCAGCAAAGGGCGUGCGUGCAAUGGAGGAGGCACACAUGUGUGGAAGUUUAACAUCAUGUAGCCACGAUGUGUGCUAUAGUUUAGGGUCAUGCAACUAGACCGUGGUGCGAAGCAGUUUAGUGUCAUGCAGCCAGGACGUGCACCACAAUUUAGGGUCUUGUAACUGGACCGUGGUGCAAAGCAUUUUAGUGUCAUGCAACCAGGACAUGUGCUACAAUUUAAGGUCAUGCAACUGGACCAUUGUGCAAAGCAGUUUAGUGUCACGCGGCCAGGACAUGCAUUAUAGUUUAGGGUCAUGCAACAGGACCGUUGUGCGAAGCAGUUUAACGUCAUGCAGCCAAGACGUGUGCUACAGUUUAAGAUCAUGCAACUGAACCGUUGUGCAAAUAAGUUUAACGUCAUGCGGCCAGGAUGUGUGCUACAGUUUAAGGUCAUGCAGCUGGACCGUUGUUCAAGCUGCCAUGUAUGCAAGUAGUUUAGUGAGGGGUGGACUCACUGGGGGAUGUGAAGUGGAUGAGGCUCCAUGGCAAAUGAAUCUAUAAAUGGUGGUCUGACUCACUAGGGAUGAAAUGGUAGACACCAUUUAUGGGCAGUGGGUUCAAAUUAUGAAGGUGGCCCAGUGAGGGAUGGUAGGUGAAAACAGACUCACUGGGGGUUAGGGAGUGAGUGUGACUCCCUGGUGAUUAAAAUGGGUCAACUCACGUGAUCAGGGGCACGAGUAUGACUCUAGUGGGGAUGGAAAGGUGAUGAGGGUCGAACCUUGCCAAUGUGCACACAAAGGGGCCAGCUAGGGAAGGCAUGUGUGGAGGCGCAUGCAAAAGUCGUGGGUGCAGAGGCAGAAGUAUGCUCUGUGGUAUAGGGAUUGUACUCGACAGUAGUCUGUCGAAGAUAGACGUGCACAACAGCAACAUGUGGUGAGGGGCACGCUCGGCGACUUAUGUACGUCAGCAUUUUGAGGUCGUGCCUUCGAGACCGUAAAUCAUGGGUAGUACCUUUUCAGGUAACGUCCGUUGAUAGGAGGCAUUGCCUUCUUCCUAUCGGAAUAGGUAACCCCCAUUUGGAGAAGCCUUCUUGAUUACGAAAGGGCCUUCCCAUUUUGGUUCAAAAUUCUGCUUGCGUCCCUCAUGCAUAACGAUCAGUCGUUUUACUGCUAAGACCAAGUCACCACGAGUGAAUGAGCGAACUUUGACUAACUUGUCAAAAGCCCUUUUCAUCCUCCCCCGAUGAAGUUCAAGGUUCUGAUGGUCUUCAAAUCUCUUCUCGUCAAGUGCGUCUAAUUCUUGAUAGCGCAACUUAACCUAUUCAUCUUCUGUCAUAUCAUGAUGUACGAAGUGAAGGAAGUUGGAUCUCGAGACGUAGUACUACUUCACUCCCAUAAACUAAAGAAUAGGGAGUAGAGUUAGUGGCACUCCAAGUCGUAGUGCGAUAGGCCCAUAAAUCCUUGAGAAGCUUCUCAUGUCAAUUUUUUCUCGUCUUCAACAACGAUUUCCUCAAAACAUUGCAAAGGGUCUUGUUGAAGGCUUCGGCCAAACCAUUUGCUCGAGGGUGGCAUAUGGUAGAGUACUUCCACUCGAAGCCAAAUUGGUUAACCAAGCAGUCGUUGUGCUAGCUUCUGAAUUGCGGACCAUUAUCAAAUAUGAUCCGGUCAGGCACACCGAAUCGGUAAAUGAUGUGAUGUCGCACGAAGUUAAGCACUGAUUCCCCUGGGACAUGCUUGAGAGGGAUCACCUCAACCCAGUUGGAGAAAUAAUUUGUAGCAGCUAAGAUGAAGGCAUGGCCCAAUGCUGAGGGAGGGUCGAUGGGUCCGACAAUAUCCAUACCCCAUUGUGAGAAUGGUCAUGAUAUCACUAGAGGAUGCAGAGGCUUUGGUGGCUAGUGAAUGAGGUUCGAAUGUAUCUGACACAAUUGGCACCUUUUGGCGUUGGUCAACUAAUCUGCGACUAUCGAUGGCCAGUAAUACCCCAACCUAGGUAUCCAUUCGUAAAGCUUAGGACCAGACUGAUGAAGGUGACAUAUCCCGGCAUGCACUUCUUCUAGUACUUUCUUCCCCUUUUGUGUCAACGCAUGGGAGGAGGAUGUCAUCAAAGGAUCGUCAAAAGAGCACGCCCGUCAAGAAGAGUGUAUUUGUUGGACAUUCUUCAUAAACUGUUGCGCUCAAUGCGAUCGUCCAGUAGCAGACUUGUUUAAUAAAGUUGAUUAAGGGUUCCAUCAAAUCCUCAACUUGUUCGAUCUCAGCACAUAUUCGAUCAAAGAUCUCUCCUUCCUAUAUCUCGGACUUAUCGCAUUGGACCUGCUUCGCCUUCGUUUCAGCUUCGAAAGCAUCUUUGGCAGUGAGGAGUGCCCCGAAUGGGUAAGGAGGGCAUUCCAAAACAAGAAUCAUUUCAUCGUCCCCAUCUAACUCUUUAACCAGCUAGAUGAGUCUCCACUCUGCUACCUAUAUAGGUGUGGGCUCUUUCGAGGAGAUUUAAAUAGUGGCACCAAGCUUGGCAAGGGCAUCAGCCUGGGAAUUCAACCUUCUAGAGAUGUGCCUUAAGGAAAAUUCAUUGAGGUUCGCCAUCAAGGUCUUAGCAGUGUCAUGAUAAGGCUUGAGGCUGUCUUUUCUCACAUCGUAUAUCCCUUUGAGCGACCGUAUUACCUGCUGAAAAUCAUCGAAAAUGGCUAACCGUUCCAGUUCCAGGCCUAAGGCGACUGCAAGCCCUAUUAUGAGGGCUUGAUACUUAGCCUCAUUGUGCGAGUCGGCAUUUGCGAGGGAGAAGGGCAAGGGAAUGAUGCCAUCUUGAGGGGUCAAAAACACUACGCCAACACCACCUCGUUUAGACUGAAAGGCCCCGUCAAAGUACAUCUUCCAAUCAUAAGCUGAUUCAGUGCAAAACACUUCUUCAUUGGGAAGGUCGCUUGACAGGGGAGAUUCUGCCAGUAAGGGGUGUGCUUCCAAGAAAUCAGCCAAGGCUUGGCCCUUGACGGCUUUUUGUGGCACAUACCUGAUGUUGAAUUCCAUUAGUAAUAGCGCUUGACAAACAAGGGCGUGUCAUGAGGAACUUUAUGGGGGCAGCUCUCGAGAUAAGCUACACUUCAUGAUCGAGUAAAUAAUGACGAAGCUUUUGGACUACGAAGAUCAGUUCCAGGCACAUCUUCUCGAUUGGCGGGUAAUUUUUUUCAGCCCCUUGCAUACUGUGACUAAGGUAGUACAUAGCGGUUUCUUUCCCCUCCUCAUUAUUUUGUGCCAGGAGUGCACCAAGCGACUCAUCGAGGGCGGUCACUUAUAAAAUGAGGGGCCUUCCUAGCACAAGCAUGGAGAGUACCAGGGGGCAUAGAAAAUAUUCUUUGAUAUCAUCCAAGGUGGCUUGACAUGCCUUAUCCCAUAUAAGCAAGUUGUCCCUGAAGAGACCGGAGUUCUCGGAAUGUUGUUGGUGGUGGCAUUCCUCUAAUUGCCUUGAUCUUGAAAGGCUCGAUCUCCAAUACCUAAUACUUGAAAAUGACCCUUAAGAAUUUCCUUGAACGUACACCAAAGGCGCAUUAUAAGGGGUUCAUCUUGAGCUGAUGAAGGCGGAGCUACUUGAACACCUUCUAAAGGUCCUGUAUGUGAACAUCCUUCUUUUUGGAUUUUACCACCAAAUCAUCUACGUAACACUCCACCUACUUGUGUAGCAUAUCUUUGAAAAUGGUGGUCAUUGCUCGCUGAUACGUAGUACCUACAUUCUUCAAUCCAAAUGGCAUCAUCGUGUAACAAAAGACCCCUUUGGGAGUCAAGAAGGCAGUGGCCUCUUCAUCCUCUGUUGCCAUUCUUGUCUGAUUGUACCUUGAAUAUCCAUCCAUGAAGGAGAAGGUUUGACAAUGUGCUGUGAUAUAGAUAAGAAUUGUUGUGAAUGGCAAUGAGAAGUCGUCCAUUGAAUAAGAAGCAUUCAAAUCAAGGAAAUCGAUGUAGACCCCGAUUUGCCCGUUCUUCUUUUUAACAGGCAUAACAUUGGUGAACGAUUUCGGGUAUUUGACUGCCCGAAUAAAACAUGCUUCCUUGAUUUUAGUUACUUCUACAUCUAUCUACAUUUCAAGAUCAGACUGGAACCCUCUCGAUUUCUACUUUACGGGUUUGAAAGAUGGGUCAAUGCCGAGCCAAUGUACUACGACUUGGGAAUCGAGACCAGGCAUCUCAUGAUAGUGCCAAACAAAGAUGUCUCGAUUUGCUCAUAGGAAGGUAAUAUAGUGUUACCUCUCAUCUGGUGACAUGUUGGCUGGAAUAAAAGUUGGCCUCGGGUCAUUCUUAUUGCCCAAGUUUAUUUCCUCGAGAUCAUCAGUCGUAGCUUGUCCACCCUCUUCCCAUUCCUCGAGGCCUUCUUGAACUUCCAUCUCUCAUUGGUUUGUGAUUCAACGGGUCUUUUGUCGACCUCGAAUAUCCCAUCUUUCGAGUUCAUAGGUACCCAUGCUUUUGACAUCUUCGCCUCAAAUUAGUUUUGACGGUAUAAAGCAUGGUAGCCAUUUCUUCUGCCUGCUUGCUUGAGGAGGGGUCGGUUUCAAGGAGAGGGAGUGCAUAUGGUUGAGAGAGAGAAUUUUGAGGCACUUGGGUCGAUUGAGAAGAGCAUGGCUCAGAAAGUGCGAUAGGAGAGUUAUGUGAUUCAACGAUCAUAGAUACAACCGCCACAUCAUUCUUGUUUUUGUGAUGACCAUUUCUAUGUACUCCUAGAUCCACCACUGGUUUGGGUGGUAUAGAAGGUUGUGAGGUAGGCUUAGGUGGUGGAACCUUGUUUUGGGAUACCGGCUAAUUUUGCUAUGCAACCAGUAUGGAUUGAAGAGGUUGUGAGGAUUAAGUAGGUAAAGGUCGCGCCACCUGACUUGGUGCCAACUGGCCAGGUUGUGCAGCCAAGUCUAGUGCAGAGGGGUUAGAUUGGGCGAUAGGAGUAGGUAUUAGUGAAAUAGAGGUUGAUGCAGGUUGAGGAUUUGGAGAUGGUUGGGUAUAUGGAACCAAUGGUAGUCUCAGGUACUUAAGGAGUGGUGGAUUGGUCGGCAUAUUUGGGAAUGGGAUGAGUGGCGGACCAGGGUACUUUAAGAGCCUCGAUUUCUACAUGAGCGACUGUAACUUCCUGCUUGACCUGAGACUGAUUGGGUCAGUGUUGGUCACUGCUUCAGAGAUCUGCACCAUGUGGCAUGCUUCGUGAGAAUGGAAGCUCUGCCCUCUUGACUCUUUCAACCGUUGCUCGAAGUCGAGCUCAGGAGGCCAUUGCGGUUUUUUGGCCUUGGAAUUCUUGUGCUGCCUAAUAAGCUUCUCAGUAGUGGGAGGAGGCUUCUUGUUGGCUCUAGAUGCUAAAUCAUCAUCGACUAUCAGGCACAGCUGCUUAGGCCACCAUCUUCUUUAGCUGUUUUUUAUGUUGCUUGCUAAUGUUGCAACUUUUCAAGUCUUUAUCAAGAGCCUCAAAGUCUAGGCAUUCGAGAGUUGUACCUACAGAAGAUGUAUUAGCAGAAGAAGAAUAAGGGUUAGAAGAGUUGGGAUAGAAGAUGGGGGAGAGCUUUUAAGGUCGUCACUCAGAUUGGACCGAUCUGGGUAGCUUUUAGUGUCAUCAUCGAAAUUGGACGUGUGCAGGGAAUCUUUUAGGUCUUCAACCUGCUUGGACCAUUGGGGGGUGCUUUUAAUGUCGUCACCCUUAUCGGACGUGUAUAGGGAAUCUUUUACAUCCUCACCAUGCUUAGACCAUUGGGGGGUGCUUUUCACCCUUAUCGGACGUGGUGGGAACAUGACCUAAGGAAGGCUCAGGAAUGUCCUCCUAACCAGACUGUUGGUCGUGGUCAGUAGAAGCAGCCAACUUGGGGAAGAAGUCCUUCAAGGGUAGGCAACGGAGGACUUCUUCCCCUCAGUGGAAGCAGCCUACUCGUCAACGAGCGGCCCUUGGUGUUCGUCUCCUUCUGUCAUUUUUAAGAAUGGGCACAUACUGACCAGGUUCAUGUGGCUUGGGAGUUGGCUUUGCUUGGCGAACCGCUUCCCUUCUCAUGGACUUCAUUCUAUUUUGUCCUCAAUAGACUUGCCAUGAUUGGGAAGUCGAGGGUUCGCCAAAAUUAGAAGGCUCGGGUGGUGCAUUCUCACAUGAGAUCUGUGUCUGAGUGAUUUCUUGUUUUGGCAGUCCGGUGGUUAGAACGUUAUCCCAGUAACGUGUCCUCCUUGGACUUUCUCCAUGAUUAUGGCUUGGAAACCGAAGCACCCCUCUAAUCCGUGACCUCGUAUCUGGUGAUACAAACACCAAAGGUUCUGGGUCCCUCGAGCGAGGUGUUUGGGCUGUCUUGAUGGCUUCGGCGCAAUGAGCCCUACUUGAAGCAUCAUGCAUAACAUGGCCUGAAGAAGGUCUGGUGGAAGUCCAUCAAGAUGAUAUUCUCUCUUGUUUUCUUCUUGAAUUGUCACCACAUGAGAUGCUUCAGCUGCCCCGAAUGCCUUCUUGAGACAAUCGAGUUGUAUAUGCCCCUUCUAGAUUAAAGCAUCUAUGUGAUCUUUGAGAGUGAAUUAAUCCUGAACAGGGUGCCCCAACAUCCUAUGAUAGCGCAAUAAUUUUUGUGGGUGACAAAGUCAGCAUCUUCUGCCUUUUUCAUUUGAGCCAAGGCUAUCAUCUGUUGCUCUAUUAACAUCCGGAGUAAGGUCGGGACCCACUCCUUGUCAAAGCUGCAAACUUUCUUUCUUUUCUCAACCCAAUAGUCCUCUUUAUAAAGGCCGGAAAGUGGAGGCUCCUUAUUGUAGGACUUCUGUUCGCUUGCCUGGGAUGUCCCUUGAGUAUUUGUAGGAUUCACCCCCUUAGAUAAAUCUAGAGUUUGAGGAGAGGCCUUCUUUGGAUCUGAUAUAGUGACAGCAGCACUAAUCACUCAUUUCUGUUGAUUGCCCUGAGAAUUGGGAUGAGCAUUACUGGGGUUUCAGCUGUUUCCCUCGUUUGAUGACUGCGUCUAUGGUCUGUUGUGAUGCUUGAAAAGGCUUUCUAUAUGGACUGCUUUGGAGAUCAGAUCUGAUAUAGAAGUUGGGUUUGAGGCCUCAACAUGUAGGGAGUCUCCAACCGCAUGUUGCGCAUACAUGUUUGGACCGCAUGAAUUUUAGGCAUGGGGGUAGCUUGGUGCACAACUAGAUCUCUCCAUCUUGCAAUGAAUUGAUCCACUGGUUCAUCUGGGUCCUGGGUCAAUGUGAGAAGCUCAAUAGCCUGAACUUUUCUUUCAACUUCAUGGAAGCACUUGUAGAAAAAGUGCUCCAUUUUUUCUUAGGUCUGCACUAAGUUUGGAGGGAGUCGGUCAUACCACUUAAAUGUCGGGAAGAGUUUAAACGAACUGACGAAGAAGAAGCCUCCCUUCAUCUGUUGUCUCUUGACACACUAAAUACAAAUGAGUGAUAUGAUGGUGAGGGGAACUCGUGCUAUUGAAGAGCGGGAGUCUUCCCUUCUGGUAGCUAGGGAGAAACAGGAGCUGGUCGACGUAAGAGGGAUAGGGCUUCUGGUAAAGAUCCAUAACCUGUAUGCCCAGGAUCUGCCUAACACGCAAGCUGUGGGUGACCAUGGCAUCGAUGUCGACUUGUGAGACUUGAUGAGAGGAGGAAUGGUCUUGCAAAGGCAAUGACUGCCUCAGGAUCGGAUUGGCUAGAUGAUGAUAAUUGGCCUCCUGAUGAGAUGAGUUUCCAGGGAGCCAAGUCCUUUCCAUCAGCUCGAUCUUCUCCAUCAUCCUGCCCAUCAUAUCCUUGAACCGGUUCAUACAGUCUACUUGAUCGUCGUUGGGCUACUUGACAACCAUCACGUUGACUAUCUCUUUAGGAAGAUUGAUCUCUUGUGCAGUCGAGGUCUUACAUACCCGUCGGACUGGGUGAGGCAGGUCGGUCAGCAGGGGCUCGACAUGCCCCGAUUGAGCUUGAGCCUUGUAUGUUGGUCGGGUCAAGACCGGUUCACGAUGGUCUUGGGACCACAAGGGCUGCAAGGUUAGAUCGUCUCCUACGACACUGAUGACAAUGCAGCAUUCCGGUUCUUCCACCUCAAGCUCUGCUACAACCUGUAAUGGGUAAAAGGGGUUCUUGGCCAGGGGAUCAGCAGGCUUGCUUGCACCGAGUGUCUUAGGUUCUUCUCUCAGCACUAUUUGAAAGCCGCAAUCAUUCCUGGCCUUCAGGCUCUGGUAUACCUCCCUCUAGGAUCGAGAUUGGGACUGUGAUUGUGUAUGGUCUGCUUUCUUCAAACACGACUGGGCAAUCUCCAUGAGAUGAGGCAAGGGAUGUGGACCAGGAACAAGAGUCAGCUCAGGCUUUCUUGGCUUGGGAAGAGACGGGGGAUGGAAUAUCUCAUCACCCAAGGGUCGGUCUAAAGAGGGUACUCUUAGAGAAAGCCUUCGAGUACCAGGUCUUGAGCGGUUCUUCCGAAGGAGAAGGGACGAACGGGGGACGAGACAACUGUCAGUGGCCUUUCUAUCAAGAGCUCGAAGUAGUUUGUGGAGGUGGCGGGGGUGUGCCCUUUGAAGAAGGGUUCCAAGUGAUCUGGGGAUCAACCUGGGCUCAAGCAAUCGAUCGGGCCUUAGGAGGUUGAGUAUCAUGAGCAAGUUUUGUGAGGGAUUAGUCUUGUGACCACCCCUCACAGAGUGCGCAGGUAUGUACAAAGAGGGACGACGAGAGGGUCGUCUCUCAUGUACUCGGGUAAAUGUAGCAACAGGGCUGCCCCGAGUAGUGCGAUGCAUAUGCAAUAGAUAUACAGGGCCGAGUCUAAGAGGACCCAAACUUGGACAGUGGCUCGAGACAGCCUGAGGGUUGCCCCGAGGUGUGGCUCAAGUGGAUGGACCACGAGCUUUAAUGCGUGUGUGAGAGGUGGUGGCCUUAUGGCCUCCUCCUCUAUGUGUCGAGCCUCUUGUUACAGGGGCCUAAUGUGGUAAGAGUGGGGGGUGACCUUACGACGACCCAUAGGAGCACUGACAGCUGGACUGCCAUGUGUAGGAAAGGAAGGGGUGGCCUUUUGGCUGCCCUCAGUAGUGGGACCAGCAAGUGAUUUGUUGGUAGCAGGGUGCAUGCAGUGUGUGGUGGCUAGUGCACCACCCAUGAAGGGUCCAUCAAGGCUAGGAGAUGGGGAGUGAGAAACGUUUAGGUCCCCCCUUUUACCAAUCUAGGUUAGGACCUGGGAGCAUGGCACGAGGUCAACACUCAGAAGGAAGGUCGAGAACGAAGUUCGGGGAAUCUGUUCUUGAAGAGAACUCGCGAGUGCGAAGAUUAGGAAGUCCCCGACUCGGAUGGAAGGCUUAACCGACCCUGAAGUCAUGUGUGUGUUAGUGACCAUGAAAUAGAAGAAAGGAAAGCCAAACAAGGACAUUCUGACUAUGGGGUAGCGUGUCCCCAGUGGAAUCGCCACGCUGGUUUGGUGCCUCGAUCUCACCCUCCAAGUGGGGAUGACCUGGUGGCAUGGUUCCGGGUUUGAGAUGGACCCGAGACCUGAGAUCGCUCUCUCGGGAACAGCGUAAGGAGGACACGGGCAGGAAUACCAACCGGUGACAGAGGAAUUGAGUCGUGAGGCAGAACUUACCUCACAUGGGUCCAUGACAUGCUCGGGCUGGCUCGCAUGGGCGCCCUCUUAGAUCACGUGGAAUACCCCUGGCUUGUGGCCGGUUUGGAAUCGUCUCCCUUGACCUAUUUCUUCUUCCCUGAAAAUACACACACACAUUAGAAUGCAAACAAGUGGGUCAAAAGACUCCACCUUGUUUUUGAAUGAAUGCACAUAGGCAUGUACAUUUGAGGGGAUAAUGAAGGAACAUCGACAUUGGAUCCCUAUCAAUUGGAUAGCCUUACGGCAUCUUCUUCAUAAGAGAUUCGCGACAUUAUUUCAUGAUGAAAAAUGAAAGAAAAAGGGGGUGAGAUGAAGAAAAUGUAGGAGAGACAAAGAAAGACAGAGAAAGAAAGAGUAGAAUAGAGGAACGAAGAUCAGUUUGGCUUUCAUCUUCUUCAGAGAGAGAGAGAGAGAGAAGAAAGUAAAGAGAAACGAAGGGCCAGUAUGUCCUUCAACUAGUCCUUUAGAGAGAAAGUAAAGAGAAACUUUUUAAAGAAAAGGGAAAUGAAGGUCUAGUAUGCCUUUCAACUAGUCCCUCAUAAUGCAAAUGAAUAAAGAGAGAAGGCAAGAUUGCUUUUCACCCAGAUCCUUUAAAGAAUAAAAUAACAAAAGAAGCAAGAAAGUUAAGAGAGAAGAGAAAAGGAGAAGAGAGAAAAAGAAGAAAGAGAAGAAAGAUACAGACGGAAGCUUAACUACCAUUUGUGAUGAGAGAGAAGAGAGAAGGAGAGAGCAUAAAUGGUGGCUUAGUUGCCGUCUGAAGAGAGAGAAGAGGGAAAGAGAGAGCACAGACAGUGGCUUAGUUGUUGUCUGAAGAGAGAGAAGAGAGAAAGUGAAAACACAGAUGUGAAGAGGGAGAAGUGAGAAAGAGUGAGCACAGACGGCGACUUAGCUGCCAUCUAUGAAGAGAGAGAAGUGACAAAGAAAGAGUACAAACGGAGGCUUAACUGCCGUCUAUGAAGAGAGAGAAGAGAGAAAGAGAGAACACAAACAGUGGCUUAUCAAAGAGAUAAGGAAGGGAGAGAGUACACAACAGGUGGCUUAUCUAUCGUUUGUGAAAGGAGAGAAGAGAGAGUAUACACAAAUGGUGGCUUAUCUGCCAUCUGUGAAAGGAGAGAAGGAAGAGAGAAAGUACACAGAUGGUGGCUUUGCUACCAUUUGUGAAAAGAGAGAAGGUAGAGAGAGAAUACAUAGAUAGCGGCUUAACUAUCAUUUGUGAAAGGAGAGAAGGAAGAGAGAGAAUACAUAGACGACGACUUAACUGUUGUCUAUGAAAAGAGAGAAGGAAGAGAGAAUGCACAGACUGCGGCUUAACUGCCGUCUAUGAAAGGACAGAAGGAAGAGAGAGAAUAUAUAGAUGAUGGCUUACCUAAUGUCCGUGAAAGGAGAGAAGGAAGAGAUAGGAUACAUAAACAGCGGCUUAGCUACCAUCUGUGAAAGGAGAGAAGGAAGAUAGAGAAUACACAGACAACGGCUUAGCUACCAUCUGUGAAAGGAGAGAAAGAAGACAGAGAGUACACAGGCAGCUGCUUUAGCUGCCAUUUAUGAAAAGAGAGAAGGAAGAGAAGGAAAGAAGGGGAGAGCACACGGACGGUGGGUUAGCCACCGUUUGUGAAGAAAAAAUAUAAGAGAGAGAAAGAGAAGAGAGAUAAUGUAGAGACCGCAGCAAGGCCUGCCAAAAAGGGUAGGCCCACAUUGCUGUCCCUGGGAAGAGGGAGACAGAAAGAGAGAGAAAACAAAAAGAAAGGGAAAGAAGAAAAGAGAGAGAGAAGAAAGAAGAGAAAAUAGAAAGGAAAGAAGAAGAGAGAUAAAGGAAAGAAGAAGAGAGGGAAAGGGAAGAAGAAGAGAGAGAAAAGAAAGAAGCAAAGAGAGAAAAGAAAGAAGAAGAGAGCGAAAAAAGAGAGAAAGAAGAUAGAAGAGAGAGUUACCUCGAUGACUGAGGGGUACCCAUUAAAAUAUUCUCUCUCCUCUCUCUCUCUAAACCAUGACCCAAAACUCAAGCAAAAGCCAAAUUUUAAUUGAUCAAGAUUGUGUCCUUUACAUGUGAGCAUCACGUGCUUAUAUAUAAUUUAAAUCCAAACAUGGGUGGAUGCUCAAUUUUUAACCUAAUUGUAGAAAAAUAGGAAUUAAAUGAAUUAAAAAAAAUUAAGAAAUUAGGUACAAAAUGAUGAUUUUGGCCCUCACCCACAAAUCUUGAAAUUCCAAUUAAGUCUCUUUCAUGGCCAUGCAACCUUCGCGAUCUUCCGGGGUCCGUUUGGGGUCCUGGUUUCAUCCAGCCAAAAGAUUAUUCUUUUCUUGAUCGUCUUGGGAAGACGAUCGUUUUGAUACCCAUUUCGAACCAUGGAUCGGACUUUUGGGCCACGAUCACGAGAUGUAAAAAUCAUGAGAAACAUGUGAUCUUUGAUUCAAGAUCACGUGUUUCUCCAUUUUUUUCAUGAUUUCUUUAUUGUACUUUGAAGAGCAUGCCGUCAUGAGCAUUUUGGCGACAAAAGUGGCUCGAUUUGGUGUCCGAACGACCAUUUUCCAAAUUUGAUAUUUUGACCAAAGUUUGGUUUCUGAUGGCCGAAAAUUGCAGCAACUUCGACUCCAUAGUGCAACGAAUUUGACCGUUCAUCACGUACAAGAUUUAGCUCAAAUGAAGCCUCAGACCUCAUGCUCGUAAUGGGCUUGAUUGUGCGUCGAUCCAAUGCGUGAGCGCCGUGAUGUGGGCAUUCGAUUGAGGGGACGUGCAGAUGGAAAUUUCUUGCUUCUUUUGGAACUUUCCAACGAACUUAUCUCUUUGAUUUCUCUCGGCUCGGGCCGUGUCAUCAUGUGUGCCAUAUAUCAAAUCGAUCGGGUCGAUGAAAUGAACAUGCUCCCAAAAUUUGGGCUCGAUCUGACCUGGGAUGAGGAAGAUACAACCAUGUGACGUUUGCCCCCGAAAUUGAGAACCACAGUUUUCAUUAAUGAAAAUUGGUUCACCAAGGGUGCACCGUAAUAGUCUCAGAAUGAUCCAAGAAGGUUCCAGAUUGUGCACUGUAAUAAAAAUUUUAUAGCUUCCGUAGCCCACAAGUUUUGGUACCUACGGAUAAGGGUCACAAACUGCUUUCUCCUUAUUCACAUCAGGGAUACAAGUGUUGAAAAAUACCUUCAGACAGUGACAUCAUCCAUAUGGGAAAUAACAUUACCCACCUGGGGCAUUAAAUACCACUAGUGUGUCAUGUAGGUGACAUCACACCCUAUGUAAAUGUCCUCACACCCUCCAAAUGACCAAAAAUACCCUUAUUAAAAAAAUAUUCUAUGUAUAAAAUAAGGGUAUAUAGGUGUCCACAAUUGUUGACUACAAUGAUAAAUUACUCCACAUAUGAGCACCCUAACAUAACCCCCCCCCACACGCACACAUAUNNNNNNNNNNNNNNNNNNNNNNNNNNNNNNNNNNNNNNNNNNNNNNNNNNNNNNNNNNNNNNNNNNNNNNNNNNNNNNNNNNNNNGGAAAAUGCUGAGAAUAGCCCACUAGCUCAUAUGAACAUAUGAGCCCAACGAUCUAGACUGAAUCUGGGCCGAUCUAACGGUAACGACCUCAUUUUGUGUUUGAAUUUUAAUUGUUUUUCUACGAAUCCAAAUAACUUGAAAUUUUAGGAGUUCAUUCUUGUUUAUGAUACAAAAUCUAACAGAUCUGGAUAAUAGCCAGCAACUCCCUCAGUAUAGGGUGGUUGUGCCCUAUAGAUGGUUCUAGGCUCUCUCGGGUUUUAGGUUUGAAGUUCCAAGAGGCUAGCUCUAAAGUUUCUCAUCUCUUUAAAGCUCUAGGGUCUCCAUCUCUAUCUCUUUAGGUUUUUCUCUCUCUCUAUGUCCAAUCGUAUUCUUUGUCCCCCCUCAAAUGACCACGAAAAGAGGCCUUAUAAAAGCUUGUUGGAAAGGAUAUGCACGCAUGACCAACAAAUCCCUCGAUCAAAGAUGCACAUUUUGAGGGUCACAGAUUUAGGCGGCAUGGGUCUUGUCGCCGGGGGGCGGCACGGGUCGUGUAACCCAAGUAAAUUGAAAAAGUCAAAAUUCAAUUUGGGGCUAGUCAGAACUGGGCGGCACUGAGAGUGUCAUCUGGGUGGCAUGGGUUCUGUCACUUGAGCAGCACGCCCCAUGUCGCACACACCAAUUUUGGUCCAAAUUGAGACUUUUUACUUCUGGUGUGUUCUUCAGCCUCUUGUGAAGUUCUUAAAGAAAAUUUGAGUCAAAACGGAUUAUUUUACUAUUUUACUGAAUUUUUUGGUAAAACAGGGUGUUUACAGAAAUAUGGGUCAAAACAAGGUUUCUACAGGGUUCCAGGUAAGAGAAUUGGUUCUAGGUCACAGGAUAGAUUGUGUCAACUAUGGAUUUGGGUUUACUAGAUGAAGUAUGAUCCUAAGGGUUCAGGAAACCACAGAAUUUGCCAUAUUUAAAAUGGGGUGUCUACAUUUGCCCCUCUUUGGCACUCCUUGUCCUUUGGGGGACAAGUGAGUGGCAAAGAAAUAGACACUUUGACGAUCUCUGUCCUUUGAGGGAUAGGUGAACGUCAAAGAUAAAGCAAAUCCUGAAGUCACGUGGUCAGGGGGCACACCAACUAUUCCCUCCAAAUGCGCUCACCGAGCUCACUCACCUAGAGCAUUUUUCCCUCUAGGCUUUUCGGCGUGAGAUGUCGGUGAGUUACACAAGCUUGAAACUCGAGUUGGAUUUUCUGACCGUGUCACUUAACUUCUGGGGUUUUGCAGUUUGAAAUUUUUAACCCUGGCAUUUUCUUUGAUCUCCUUAGGAUUUCCUAAGGUUGUCUAUGGUAAAGGAAUUUUAUAGGAAGAGACUUGUCUGGUUGAAUCCGAAGAGAGAGACGAGGUAGUAAUGCGGUAAUCGCAUCAACGUGGGAAUCGCAGUAACACAGUGAUCAUCACAUAUGGGUGUCGAAUCUCCUUUGUUUUAAAAGUCUUUUAAGAAAAAUUGAACUUAGGGGAAGAUUUAAAAUAGAACUCGGAGCAGGGACAGGUUACGAUUUUAAUAAAGAAAUAAAAGUUUUUGAAAACACAUGACAUAUAGUGAAAAUUUUAAAAAGAGGAAGAUAUUUCGAAAACAAAGUUGGUUAAUAAUUUUAACUCUUGCAACCAUAGAACCCUCUAAGAAAUUUAGCGUCAUGCAGCAAUGGACCAUCACUCGACCCUUUUACGUCAUAUGGGGAUAGAAAUUUUCAUUGAAUAGGGUUGUUGUGCCCUGAACACACCUGACCUUUUACGUCAUAUGGGGAUAAACGUUACCCUUCUCAGCUCUUUCACGUCGCAUGAUUUUGACAUAGAACUGAAUUGGCUUUAGUUGUCAGUUUAGGCUCAUGCCACCAAGGAGCAUUUUCUCUCUCUCUCUUUUUUGUUAUAUCAUUAAAGGGGUAAAACAAGGUUCAAGCUGGGAGACACGACGCAUGCCGCCUGGGUGACACGGGGCACAUCACUCAGUCUUAGGUACGGACUUGGGCGACACGGGGCGUGCCGCCCAGUCCACCAACCCCCAAAUUUCAUUUUUAUCAUUUUGUUCAGUUUUAGGGUUAUCUAAACCCUCUGUUGGCCAAAGUGGAUAGCCACAAGACGAGUUUUGAGUCAGAUUUCUUGCUUUCUAUAAAAAUCAAACUCCUUUCCAUUCUCUCUUCAUCCUUCAAGCUCUUCUUUCUUCUUCACAACUUCAUCUUCUUGCUUUCUUCAUCGUUUUCCCUCUGAUCUUGCUAGUUUUUCUUCUUCUUACUCUUACAGUUUCAUGGCUCCUAGGAAAGACGAUACGGUUUCCAAGGGCAAAGGGAUGGUUUCUAAGCAGGCUAAUAAUGGAAGAGAUGAGGAGGCUUCCCCUCUUUUUCCUAGAGUUAGGCACUUCCCUGAAAGUCUGCCCUCUCACAUCCCGUAGGGCUUCGAUCGGGCGAAGUUCCUCGAAGUGUCAAUGGCUUUCCCAUCAUCGAACCCUAGUUCCGGGAUUGGUUUCUUUCCGCUCGGUAGUGGCUCAAGCUCAUGACUCUUCUGGCUUCAAUUUCGAUGAUAGGCAUCUUGAACAUGGCCUCUUGCCAUGUGAAAUUUCCACUCCUUGAGGCUCUUGCUGAGAGGUUCAACUAUCAGACUAUCAGACGAACACUUUCUUUUUUUCCACAUGUGACACAACGCCAACUUUGGAGGAAGUUAUCAUGAUUUAUGGCUUGAACGUGGCCGGUAUUGGAUAUCAACCUUCCACUGCCAUCGACGACCAUUCUAUCACUGUUGGGGGCUGUUUAUUCUUCUCAUGGUCAGUGGGUUGAUACAGAGUUGCUGGUCCAAAAUUGAGAGCAAUCUCGAGCUGCCGAACAAAUUCGUAUUUUUCUUUUUGUGUUGUUGGACUCCAUUCUCUUUCCGAGUGGUCGUAAGAUGGUUCGCAAUUCCCUUUUUCCUUUAGUCCAUGCCUUAUGGGAACUAGCGGGUUACACGGGCAUAUACUAGGGUCUUCACGACAGGGUCACGUGAGGUGGCCGAUUUAUUGAGGGUAGUGUCUUGAUUUUGCAGGUAUAUUUUUUAACAUAAUUUUAUUUUAUUUUGUCCCUGAAACUUAGUUUUUUGUCUAGGUUUUGGGCUCUGAAACCCAUAUUUUUGUCACAAGAAUUAAUUGGAAAAAGCUCGGCUUGAUCCAAGAGGGUCUCAGUUGGGCGACACUACCAGUGUCGCCCAAACCAAUUUCCCCCGAUCAUUCCGGGGUUCUUGAAUUUUUAUUGUGUGACCUUUUGGGAUGCUUUUGACUCCUGUUUUCUAAAGAUUUGGGCCUACGAACAUGUCACUGUUGUCCGCCCUACUCGGUCAAUGAUAGUUAUAUCUGCUGCUCUGGGACUAGCAUAUGUCAACGACACCACUUGACCCUAGGAUGUCAAUUAUUAUCAGAGGAUUCUUGACGAGUUUUCUUCAUUCGAUUAGGUGAUCAAGGGUCUUGAAAACAUAUCCCUAUUGCUUCCUACUUUAGGGCAUUCAUGUUCUAUUCUGGCAGGGCUGAACUUCACAGAGGGAUAUUUCCCUCAGAGGGUGCUUUGCCAGUUUCGCCAUACUCAGAAUUACACUUCUCCAUGAGAGGUGAUCGAUCGUCGCCCUAUCUUUCUACUUCGUCGACACUCUUCAACCCUUCGGGUCAAGGCAAGUUUGUCAUGGAAGGGAAAGAAGUACUCUUUUAGUGAGGGGUUAGCUAAGCAAGACAAGCCCACAACCACUCGAACUAUGAUUCUUGGUGGGACGUGCCUGUCCUCUUUCACUAUGCCCCAGAUCCUCGAGAUUUUGUGGCGAGUCUUAUGUUCUUGCUCAGGAUCUCGUGCCUCAUCGAGAAGAUGGUGCCUCUUGUUCAAAUAAACGAAUCAAAUCCAAUGAGGACAUAUGUGACCUCAACUUGGAAGAAGCUGAAGUAGAAUUGGCUCGAUGGGUGGCCUUUGUGGCAAAACUCAAGGAGCAGGAUGUUGAUCCGAAACCGAAGACUGAAUAGCCAAAAUAUUUUCUUUUCUUUAUUUUGUCCUUGGCACGAAUAAGUUGAUCUCAUGAUCAGCAUUAUUUUUCAAUAAUUUUAUUUUUGUUGAAGUCUGUUAAGAUAGUAGGAAUUUGAGUCAUAGGACCAAGUUUAAUGGCGUGCACGCCUGUAAUAAGCCCAUUUUAAUGGAUGAAUAAAAGUAGAGUUUUGAGAUACCCAAAAUUUUGUUUUCUAUUCUUCUUGAUCUCUCUUUUUUCUUUUCUUUUUUUUUUUUACUGCCCCUGUUGGGCGUCUUUUAACUUGUACAUGUGCAAUUGAUUUAUCGAAGCAUAGCGGGAUACUUUCUUUGCAAACAUCUUUCAAAAUUUUACAAACCCAGCCCCCUAGUUGUAGGGUUUUUGUCUCGAAUUUCCAGCUAUUGGGUCAUCAUACACACACAUAGGAAUAAGCUUGCCUCAUUUUGCCCAAGGGCAUCCAGUCGGGAGAAAGACGCUCCCAAACUAGCCAAUUUCAUCAUUGACGAGGUUCACCCAUCUCUUAUAUGUGGUAGUUAGUAUUUAUACUCUUACAACCAUGGAGUGCCUGACUAGUGUUGAGCUUUCAUAAUAGGCAUAGAAAGUUGGCUUCAAGAAUGAGGCCAGAUGACUAACAGUCUAACCUUUUGUAGUGAUGGAGGAAGUCCUUUCUAAAAGGAUUUUGAAAAUGGACAAUUUAAAAGUCCAUUUGAAAAGCAUUUUCAAAAAGAACGGGUGUUACAGUUUUGCCACCUGUGGCCCUUUGGUGGUCAUUUUCUUUAUCAAUUUUUUACCCCGAGAUGAUGAAAGGAUUUUCUUGUGGGAUCGUGAGAACUCAGGAGUCUCGAAGUUGUCCUUUUACCUUUGGAGCUUUCAUCUUGUGCUUCACGGAUCCAUAAAGAAUUCUUUGGAUUCUUGUCGGACUUUCAUCUUGGAGAGGUCUCGAUAUUAUCCUAGGGUUUGUCGAAAUCACUUUGGUUUUCCAUUCAUGUCACCCCUCUACAUCUUUCUGAGUUGGUUCUGUUGGGAGCCUGCAGGGUUUAGGAGGAGUCUUCAUCCUCAGGGUCUGCUUGUGCAUUAUUGUUGAAACUUACAAGUACUUAUUUGUACUUGAGUGUUUUGGGUCGAAAGCUCCCUCUUGGAGAUUUUUUUUUUUUCCUUUUGCCCGCGAUGCCUUUUUAGGUUUUCACUACAUCCUUUUUUUUUUUUCUUUAUAUUCUUUCAUUUUUUCUUUUGAGAUGCCUUUUCAAGUUUUCACCAUACUUUUGAGCCCGUUAUGGGUAAUAUUUUCUAAGAUACAUUGCAUUAAUGGGGUCAUUGAGUUCAUACCCCUCCUGAUUUUUAAUAUUAUACGAAUGGCCUUCAUCCACUCUGGAAAUCAUGAAUGGCCCCUCCCAAUUAGGUUUGAACUUGCCUAAAGGGUGUGGAUUUGCAGGAGUGUGGAAGAUUUUCUUGAGUAUCAUGUCUCCUUCUUUGAACUGUCGAGGAGCAACUUUUCUUUGAUAUGCCCUCUCGACCCUACGCUAAUAAGCAACGAUAUUUUGUGUCGAUCGUAGUCGUUUUUCUUCCAAAUUAAUGGGAGCAGUGAUUCGUCCUUCGAUCGUUUGUCCCUCAUCUAAAUUUCUAUGAAUGAGCACUCGGAGAGAUGUUAUCUCAACUUCAAUGGAUAGCACUGCUUCCAUAUCAUACACCAUUGAGUAUGGGGUCAUGCCAGUACGAGUCUUCUCAGUUGUCUGGUUGGCCAAUAGGGCGUCGUUUAGCGUUUCGUACCAAUAUUUUCCACAUUUUAUGAUUCUUUCUAUUAUUUUGAGAAGUCCUUUGUUUGUGGCAUCCGCUUGUCCAUUUCCUUGAGGGUAGUAAGGUGUGUAAAAUUUCUGCGUUAUCCCGAAUUUUUUACACACCUUAGUGACCCUUUCAUUGUUGAAAUUGAAUCCAUUGUCAGUAAUGAUUGACUCAUGAACACCAAAUCUGAAUACAAUGUUGUUCUUUAUGAAACGGGCAACAUGUUGUCCUUCUAUUUUGACACAUGAUGCGGUCUCUACCCAUUUUGUGAAGUACUCUAUAGUCGUAAAUAUAAAAUGGUGACCGUUUGAGGCUUUUGGUGAUAUCAUUCUGAUGACAUCAAGACCCCACAUGGCAAAGGGCCAUAUGGGGGGUGUUGAGUUGAGUGGUACGGAUGGUGCAUGGAUGAGGCCUCCAUAAAGUUGACAUUUGAGACAUCUCUUAACGAACUUCUAAGAAUCUUCAGUCAUGGUGGUCCAGUAAUAGCCUUGGCGCCUAAUUUUCUGAGCUAAGGCAGCUGCCCUAGAAUGACCUCCUUCAUUGUGUAACUCUGUCAGUACUUGGUCGAUUUCUGGCUGAUCGAGACAUCGUAGAAUGAUGUCAUCUAAUGAUUUCUUGAACAGGAGGUCACCUCUUACCAAGAUUCCCAUCGAAAACCUUCGAAGGUCUUCUUUAUCUUUUUUGGUGGCUCCUUCGGAUAGAACAUCGUGGAACCAUGGUUUUGCCUUAACUAACGCAUCUGAAGCCACAAGAGACACUUCCCCAUCGUUCUCAUUUUCUUACUCUAUUUCUUUUUCGAUCCUUGGUGGGGAAGGGUCAUUUUUUGUCCUGAUGUAGAAUGGAAGCGUGGUGAUUUCUGGGGGAAUAUCAAUUAUUGAGGCAAGGGUUGCAAGAGUGUCGGCGAACCGAUUAUUUUCCCUAGACACGUGCUAGAAGGUGAUUUUCUUAAAAUAUGGGAUCAUCUUUUCCACCUUUUUUUGAUAAGGUUUAAGCUUUUCUUCUUUCACCUUCCAAAUCCCUUGAAUUUGGUUUAUGACAAUUAAGGAGUCACCAAUCACUCGUAUUUGCUGGAUUUUCAUUCUCAUGGCGCUCUCGAGCCCAGCUAUCAAGAAUUCAUAUUCAGCAAUGUUAUUGGUACAUGGUAAAUUCAAUCUAAUGGCUAUUGGCAUUAAAAUCUUCUCGAGUGAGCAUAGUAUGGCUCCUAUACCUGACCCCCGUAUUCAUUCUUUACACCGUCGAAGUUUAGCUCCCAAAUUGAAUCCUCAAUUGUGCAGAGGUUCCCAUCAGGGAGAUCCGUGUUGACGAGAAUGUUAUCUGACAGUGUGUGUUCAGCUAAAUGGUCAGCAAUGACUUGUCCUUUGACCGAUUUUUUAGUGACACACUCGAUCUCGAACUUGCUCAACAGCAUUCUCCACUUCGUCAAACGUCCAUUAAGGACUGGUCUCUCCAAUAGGUACUUGAGUGGGUCUAUUUUUUUUAUGAGCUUGACUAAAUAAGAUAAGACAGAAUGUCUUAACUUCUGCAUAACCCAAACAAGUGUUAAGCAAUGCUUCUCCACAUUUGUGUAUCUUGUCUCAUAGUCAACCAUGGUUUUGCUGAUGUAGUAUAUCAUUUGUUCUUUUUCAUGGUUGUCGUAUUGUCCUAACAUUGCCCCCAUGGUCUUGUCUUUCACAGAUAUGUAUAGGAAUAAGGGGUUUAUCUAGACUUAGAGGACUAAGGAUGGGUGGUUUGGUGAGGUACUCCUUGAUUUUAUCAAACGCUUCUUAGCAUUCAUUAUCCCAUAGGAAUGGGGUAUCUUUCUUAAGAAGUCUAUUGAAUGGUGCGCACUUGUCUGCUAGUUGUGAAAUGAAACGUCUUAUGGCUUGUAUGUGACCUUGAAGCCCACAUAUUUCUCUAAUAUUUUGGGGAGGGGGCAUUUUUGUAAUGGCUCGUAUUUUGGACGGGUCCACCUCAAUGCCCCUUUGGCUUACUAUAAAUCCUAGUAAUUUGUCAGAUUCAACUCCAAAGGUACAUUUUUUUGGAUUGAGUUUGAGUUGAUGUUUUCAGAGUCUUUCGAAAAUGGUUCUCAGGUUGGUGAGAUGAUCAAACCUGGUCUUCGACUUGACCUGAAUGUCGUCAACAUAAUCUUCCAUAAUGGUAUGCAUUAAGUCAUGGAAGAUACUAAUCAUUGCCUGAUGAUAAGUUGCCCCUGCAUUUUUUAGACCAAAGGGCAUGAUGUUGUAGCAGUAAGUUCCCUAUUGUGUUAUGAAUGAAGUCUUGGUUUCAUCUUCUUUUUCCAUGAGGAUUUGGUUGUAACCCGAGAAGCUGUCCAUGAAUGACAACAUCUCGUGCCCUGCAGUGUUGUCCUAUAUUUAGUAACAGGAAAUUGUCUUUGGGACAUGCCUUGUUGAGGUCUCCAUAGUCGUACUCGGAUCCUCUCGUACUUUUUGGGUACGACCACUAGGUUGGCCAACCAUUUGAGUAAUCGACGGGUGUAAUGAACUUCACCUUGAGCAGUUUAUCAAUUUCUUCCUUAAUUUUGAGCUCAAGGUGGGUCUUUUGAUGUCGAAGUUUCUGCCUUACAGGCUUUGCCGCUUCAUUGAAUAUUACAUCAUGUUGCACCAACAUGGGAUCAAACCCUGGCAUAUGAUCGUAUGACCAGGCGAAGACAUCUCUAUAUUCCUUGAAAAAGGAAAUCAUAAUUUCCCGCUCCUCAAGAGAUAGGGAGGUUCCAAUCUUGGUUAACCUUGGGUCCUUCUCAGUUCCUAUGUUCACAAUGAUAGCCGUUGGGUCACCAUCGAACCUCUUCUUGAAUUGCUUGACAUGGGAAGUGAGUUCCUCAGGUUGAGAGAUUUUCUUAGACUCUUGGCUCUCUUGAUCUUCGUCUUGGUCAUCCAAUUCGCCAUCUUGGGUGUUGUGCACCAUUAUUGGUCUAUCUUGAAUGUUCGCUUGUUUUUUAAAAUUCUUUCCAUUAUCAUUAGUUUUAUCAUGUUUUGAAUUUUCAACAGUGGAUUUUGAAAUAUCAGAAGAGGUAUCCCUUAUGGGACUUUCGAGAGUUAUGUUGAGGACUGGAUGCGCAGGGGUGGUUAGAUGGCCACCCUGCGUCGAUCCGUUUUUUGGCACCGGAACUUGAAGGUGCCGCUUGUAUGCUUCCAGCGAUGUUGGAGAUAGAGGAGUGAUUGAUCAAUUUCGUUCCUGGGUUUGAAUAGGCGGAUGAGCAUGCUUGGCUACGUUAGAGCCAAUUGUGCAUACCUUCAAGUCCAGGUUAGCAAAAAGGUCUUCAAUUCCUAGUUCUUGUAUGUGCUGAGAUGUAGAAGAAGAAUUAUUUCCCGUUGGGGAUUCAACAGUCACCUUUGGCCAUUUGAAGGACGGACGUCGGGAGGAUCGAGGCUUUGAAUGCCUCUAGAUACAAAGCUCGGAUAACGUGAAGGCUCCAUCCGGCUUUGAAAUAGGGUGAGAGUGCACCCGAGUCCUCUUCGAUUCCCGUUUUCAGUUUUAGCUUGGGGUGAUGCAGAAAUUGCCUCCCUUAAGCCUUGUCUUGACUCCCUAAGCUUUGGCCUAGUUGGAAGCCUUAAGAGAAGAGCAUGUCUAAGCCUCGAGGGACCCAAAGCAGUAUUAAUGUUAACAUUGGAUAAUCUCUUCCAUCGAUGCGGAAGUUUGUAAAAUUUGAGAAACAGGGUCACUGGCCUCUUGGCGUAAGGUGGCACAAUCAGCUUGCUCGAAGGAAGCGAGUGGGAUUUCUCCAAGCUCGACCCCUAUGGCUAGCGGCCCAUUAUGUAUACUAGGAUUGAGAAAAGCAGGGGGUUCAGCACAUACCUUUGCGACACCACUUUUGUUCAGAAAUUUUAGGUAUUGAUGGAGCAUAGAUGCGACCACGAGGUUUUCAUGCAACAAUAGUCUUCCUAACAGCAGGUUGAAUGAAGUUUUAUGUCCAAGAUAUAAAACUUUAUCAUUUGGACAAUAGGACCGAUCUUGAGUGUGAGAGGCAAUAUGCCUUCAGCUUGUCUCUUGGUCCCGUCGUAUGCGACGAUAAUUUGUUAGCACGGCUCGAAGUCAUCUGGGCAUUUGCCUAUUUGCUUCACCAUUUUCAUAGGGCAUAUGUUGAAGGAUGCCCCAUUAUCAACAAUAACUCUUCGUAUUUCAUAUCCUUGCAUGAAAACAGUGACGUGCAGAGGGUGGACAUGAAAACGGUUGAAGCUACCUAGGAUGUCAUCAUCCAUGAAUACAAUUGGCAUUGGUUCCAUCAAUUGUUUGAUCAUUCCACACAACUCGUCCGGUUGUGUGUUGCUCAGGAUGUGUGUCUUAGCAAGAACCCUUUCGAUCUGGGCUCUGCGUGCGGGCGAGUAACUCCAGGAUGGAGAUUUGAGCCUGGAUCUUUCCGAGAUGAGUCGGUAGAUCGUAGUGGUUGCAGAUCCUUGAGUUUCUUUAUUCGACUCAUGAUCUGCGACCCCAGCUAGUUGUUUGGCUUUCGAGGUGUUUCCCAUUCUUUUAUUGAGAGUGUCAGCCAUCAGUUGAAUGGGUUUGAACACUCAGCUUUUUCAGGUUAAGGAAUCAACCUCGCCAUCCAGAAGCUCGAUAGGGUCGACCCUAGCAAGAGUAAUGGGAGACUUUAGGGUGUUAGCCCCUUGUUUGGAAGAUGGCAUCUUUUCAUUGGUCCUGACCAUAUCGAUUUCUAAUGUAUCACCUUCACCAUAUUGAUCCCAUUUGGGAAGGUUGUCGAGGUUUGGAGAUGAAGGGAUUCCUCUUAGAAGGUCUAAUAUUUUUCGGGUUUUUGGAGGUAAUGAUCACAAGUAAAUAUGAACUGACUUAGAUCAUCUUCUUCAUCUCCACUUUCAACCAUGUGAAUGGCAAUGUUCUCUUUUGCGUUGUCUUGAGCUCCGGGCUUUGUCAGUCGUUGUGACCAUAUUUUUAGGGAGAGGAUAUGUGAAGAUACCCAUCUUUUUAUUAGGUUCUUCAACGGGUUGAUUUCUAGGCGCGACAGUGAUGUUCCCCCUAUUUAUUAACUCUUGAAUCACCCAUUUCAAAUAUAUACAGUUUUGGGUAUCAUGAGCAUGGUUUUGAUGCCAUUUGCACCACUUUCUCUUAUCAGUGACAUGAAACGGUGAUUCAGAUGGUGGCGGGAGGUAAACCAUGUUUCUAGCCAGGAGUAAUUUCAGCACUUUUUCUAGUGGGUCUUUGAGAGGAGUGAAAUUAUCCUCUUGCCUUUGGUUAUUAUUUCAAGUGUUGGCUCUAGGCUAACCCCUUCAGUUUUGGUUCUGAUUGUUGUGCUGAGUGGCUGAACCUUGAGCAGGUCCGUUAACGACAAUUUCAUUAACCUGACCGAAAGUCGUUCCCUUGCUAUUGUUUUUUAUCUUAUUUUGGGGAGUCGUUAUUGGUUUAUUGUCGAGCUUGAUGCUGUGGAUUAUCCCUCUUGCCCGUUCAUGUCGCACCACCCGCUCAAUCAUGGAGUCAAAAGAGUGGGGGAUAAAACCAUGGUUGAAAAAGGUCUUGUAUUCAAGAACGACAUUCUCCAUGGCCAUAGAGAUUUGGCUAGGUCUGUCAGUGGGCAUUCUAUGACCCGAAUUGCCGCCUCACAAAACUUAUGGAUGAAAUCCUCGAAGGAUUCUCCUGGACUUUGCUUUGUUGCUCUGAGCUCGCCCAGGGAUAGAGAUCUUCGUAUCGACCUGCAAUAGUGAGAGACGAAUAGGUUGAACAUUUCGUCUCGAGUGCUGUGUGGUUGAGCGGACAUUGUUCUCCGAUGCCAGUUUAAGGCCUCACCGGUCAGUGUUUGCGAAAAUAUGGCCUUUAGUUGGUUAGGCAUGUCUCGCAAAGCUCUCAUGGAGAGGAGAUACGUGUUGACGUAAGCAUCUGGAUCGCUCUUCCCAUUAAACGUGUUCCUAAAUUCUGGGACAACAAAUCCCAAGGGAAGGUCCUUCAUGCCUCCCAGGGUCUCUUGAACAUAGGACCUUGGGGGUAGAAUUUCAUGCAGGCCCAUUCUUACGAGCAUAGCAUGCAUUGCUUUUAAAGUGCCUUCUUGUUGAGUAUUUGACGUGACAGUAGGCCCACCGGUCGGUGGGUUCCUAAGCGUAGAUUGAUAAGUUGAAUUCUGGGGUCCACGUUGGCCUGCGUGGGGCUGAGGUUGAUGGGUCAUAGUCACCGAGACGGUUUGAUACAUUUGUGCCUGAGGGGCGUAUUGACCCAUUGGUGUCACCACCGGUUGUGGAAAUGGCACAGUUUGUUGUACCGAGUGAACUAAGGGGACCAAUUGAAGAAUCAUCUGACUCAGUUGUGCUAGGGGUUAACCUAUACCACCAAGUUAGUUUGGCAUCAACCCAUGAGCUAGGCCAUGAACAGUAUAACCUAGGUCAACUAGACUUUUAAGGGCAGCAUGGACUCCUAUCUCGCCUAAGGGUUGGUCUAGAUUGACACCUCUGCUUUGUAUAUUAUUAAAAAUAUCAUGAGCUAUACUGUGGUGGCUCGAGGUUGAGUUGGAUCCCCUAGACCUAGGUGGGCCUUGAUUCUGAGGUCGUUGCACCUUGGAGUUAUCUUGGUUCGAGUUGUGGGAAUUGGCAUUAGAGGCUGCAUGAAUUUCUUCCCUCACUCAACUUCUACUUUGGUUACUUAAAAUCCCCUAUACGAGGACACCUGGUUGAACCCCCUGACUAUUCAGAGUCUUUCAGACUGAAUUGGCUUUUCGGAUCACACCGAUUUCAGGAUUAAGAGUGGAUGCUUGGGACUUUGCCUCUAAUUGAAGACCUGGGUGUUGGAUAAUGGAUUGGCUUGAGGUUUGUUGAUAAGUCCAAGGGAUUGUAGUGUACUGGUCCCUAGGUUUAGGCAGGUUGGGCUUAAAGUCAACCAUGGAACGAUCAUCAUAGUCGCCUUGAGUAACCAACAUGAUGACUUUCUUUGGCUGGGUUCUAGAAUCUAGACUUAGGUAUGAUCUAAACUCGUUGACCUAGGGCAGACCUAGCCUGACUUUAGGGCCAAAACCUUAACUAAGACAAAGGCUAAGACUAGCCUAGAACCUAGACUUUCUAGACUCAAUGGGUUUUGGUUCAGACCCUGAACUAGGGUAAGCCUAGUCUAGCUCUACAGGCAACUCUAAGCUUAGACCUAUGCUAGAACCUAGACUAAGAUCUAGACUAGAUGGGUGCAAGUCUCAGCUCGAACCAAUAGUGGGUCUAGGUUUGGCCUGGGUGUGAGCCUGGUUCGGACCUGGACUGAGCUGGGUGCAAGCCUGAGCUUGGACCUAGAGGGUUGUAAAAAUCAGACCGAGAAUGGACCUGGGCUAGGCUAGGUAUAAGCCUGAACGUGGACCUCGAGAAUUUAGCUUGAACCAAAGGCUGGUGGGGGCUGAGAUCUAAGAUGAACAAAACAGUAAUAAGCAAGCAAGCACAUGAAAACAUUAGACCUAAUUAGCUUGAGAGUGGGUUCUAACUAUUGAAAUGUGGCUAGGCUGAUAUAGGUCCCCACAUAGGUCCUGGCCUCCUGUUAUAGGAUGUUCACCAGGUCCUACUAUAUGCAGAAUGCUUUGAGGCAAAGGUUUACAAAGGGGCGCUCACAGUUAAAGUUACACGAAUCCCAACCUCCUUGACUCUCAAAGGUAGGUUCCCUCAUGCCGUUAACACAGAUUUUGAGGGUUUUCAAAACAUUUGUUUGCUGGUUUCCCGGGCACUCCCGGUUCAGUGUGUGCUAGAGUGUGCAAACAAGCACGCAAUUAAAAUAAAUUCAAGCACACAAUGCACCAAAACAAUAAAGGAAAUAAGUGAGCGCUUGGCACUGAUCAUGCCUAGCGAUGCGCGCUUUGAGGAGAAACUCGCUCGAAGUACGGUAUAGACGGAGGGGUAAGCAACCCCUAAAAAGGUAAAGUCAGAACAAUGAGACCAGGCACAGUCAGUGCUAAGUCGAGCGCAGCCCCAGUCGAGGGUGAUUCGAACAGGACACGGUUCAAGGAGGGUGUAAGCAAUCCUCGAUAUUUUUUUUUUAUUUUUAAAAUUUUUUUAUCUUUUUUAACCUUGAUGAAAUACAGUUAAACUAAGCAUGGUGAAAGCAGGGAAAACAUGGUUUCAGUCAAAAUUAACAGACUAAAAUGAAAUAAAUAAAGUUAGAAGCAACACAGACCUCUUUGAAGCAAAAUAUUUUUUUUAUAUUUUUAAAAAAUUUAUUUUAAGUCAAAAUUUGGUCAACAGAGAGCCAAAAGUCCCUGGAAUAGGCUAUGGGUGUCCCAGAAGUUUUUUGAGGCACUUGCAAUUAGGCAACACUAGUGGUGGCGCCCGGGCGGCACUGCUGGUGUUGCCCUUGUAGAGUGGACGACACUACUAGUGUCACGCAAAAAAUUAUUUUUUUAUAUUUUUUUCUUGUCAAAAUGGAUGAAGCAAGAAAAAAUAUAUAUUUAAAAUGAAAUAAAUUAAAACAGAUUAAAGUAUAACAGUUAAGAUGGAACAAUAAAAUAUUUUUUUGGUAUUUUCUAAAAAAUUAUUUUGCUUUGAAAUAUUUUGAGCACUGACAAGAGAGUCCCAUGACCCAGACUACAAAAUUUCAAAAACAAUCUGACUUGGGUAAGGCGUGUCGCUCUGGACCUGGGCGGCACGGCCCGUAUUGCCUGGGCAGCACGCGCUGUCACCUGAGCGGCAUGCCUCAUGUCGCCUGAGUGGCACGCCUAGUUUCACACAAGGCAAACAGGGUUUCAGAGCACCGAAACCUUGGGUCCUUGUCAUAGCCAGGGUUUUGGACCCUUUUUUUUACUGAAAACAGUGAAAAGUAGUGAACAAAAAUCGUAUUUUGAGGCUUGGAUCAAGCUCGAAAUGCACCACGGUGGGCGCCAAACUGUUUACAAUGCAAAAUGUGACAGAUCUGGGAAUAAAGAUCUCUCGGAUUUGACACCGUUAAAUUAUGAAAAUGAAGGAAAUGCAGUGGUAAAGAAAGUGAGACAAACCAAAUUCAGGCCAUAUCUACCCGGAAGUGAGCAUAUGUGCUCUCAGAUCUGUGGCAGGGCCAGCAUGAUCCAAAAAUAUCCAAAAUACGAUUUUUAAGCAAAUUAACCAAAACAGAGCAAAAUAAAAUUAAAAUAACGAAAUAAGAAUAAAAAAGAAGGAAAAAAGUGAUACCGAACCGGGCUAGAUGGUUCGGGAUGCCCGAGCCUUUUGGGGGCCCCCCCGUAUCAAAACCGGUCCUCUUUUGUCUCUUUGAUCCGGAUAUUAGCCAGCAAGUCUCUUUAGUAUAGGAUGGUUGUACCCUAUAGAUGGUUCCAGGCUCUCUCAAGUUUUAGGCUUGAACUUCCAGGAGGCUAGCUCUAAGGUUUCUCAUCUCUCUGAAGCUCUAGGGUUUCCAUCUCUAUCUCUCUAGGUUUUUCUCUCUCUAUCUCCAAUUGCAUUCUUCAUCCCCCUUCCAAUGACCACGAAAGAAGGAUAUGCAUGCAUAACCAACAAAUCCCUUGGUCAAAGAUGCACAUUUUGAGGGUCAUGGAUUUAAGCGGCACGGGUCGUGUGACCAGGGCGACAUGGGGCGUGCUGCCCAAGUAGAUUAAAAAAGUCAAAAUUCAAUUUGGGGCUGGUUGGAACUGGCGGCACUGGGUGUGUCAUUUGGGCGGCAUGGGUCGAAUGGCAUGGGCAGCACACCCUAUGUGGCCUGGGCGGCAUGCCCCGUAUCUCACAUACCAAUUCUAGUCCAAAUUGAGAUUUUUUCACUUUUGUGUGUUCUUCAGCCUCUUGUGAAGCUCUCAAAGAAAAUUUGGGUCAAAACAUAUUUUUGUACUAUUUUUAAUGAUUUGUUUUGUAAACAGGAUGUUUACAGAAAUCUAGGUCAAAACAGGGUUUCUACAUGGUUUCGGGUAGCCGUGACGGUUGCCAGUGUUUAUUUGCAUGAAAAAUAUAUAGGAAUGGACAUAGUAGGUCCCUUACGGUGUUUUAAGCCACGCUGUCUGAAAAAUUGGAUGGCACCAAGCCUCUGGACGAAAUCACUGUUCAUUUUCGCCCAUAGGCGUUGCGUAGGGGCUUUAUAUAUAUAUACACACAUAUACUUUAUAAUGAUCGAGCUAAUAUAUUAUUCCAGUUAGACAGUAGAAGUGAGAAUCCAAGGUCACAAAUUUGAUUCCUCCUCUUUUUCUUAAGGCUUAAAAGAAAAUAUCAUAUAAGUUUUUCUAUUAAAAAAGGGGAGACAAUUGUAUAAGAUAUCAAAUUCAAACAAAUAAAGUAAGGUGCACCUCUAAACUAUAUUGAAAGAUAAUAUUGCAAUACUUAGAAAGUUUUGCAAUGACAUUAUUCGGGGCUGAUUUUUGGAUAUCCGAAUCUCAGAUAAAGCACAAGGAAUCAAAAGAUUGGAUUAACUUUAAUAUAUAAAUCAAAGAGUCCUCAAGCGUAUGGUCAAUCAGUAUGUUAUCUGUAGAGAUACCUCAAACCAAUAAUAUAAGCGAGACUUGCCCUACAAGUCCUCAUAUGCCUUGAAAGUUUUGCAAUUAGCCGUCAUAUAUCUUAACUAUCGGACAUACUCAGGAAUUGUCACAAAUGUCAUUAUAAGACCAGACUGUGGAAUCAAUGAUCCCAAUGCCAAUAUAUGUCGUUUUGCUCUAUUUAAGGGAAGUUUAGAUAUAAGUUGACAAGAUGUGAGGAAUUCCAUUCGUUAAAGGGGUUGGAACAGUCAAAUAUACCCAAAGACUAUCACAAAUCUGAUUUUGAGACUACGAAGGGAUCAAUGAUCCUAUGGAAAAUAUAUGCAUGCCCACAUUAUUAAAGGGUAAUUUGCAUAUAAAUUGACUAGUUUUGGGUCUUCAAAGGUGAACUAUGCAAACCUCACAAAAUCACAUUAAAUCGAGGUGAAAUUUGCAUAUGAUGAUUGUUAGUCAUUAUCUGUCUUCAGUCCGAUAUUCAUAAAGAAUGAACAUCAUUUAAUAGGUCUUCUGAUCCAUCAUAUGUUAAACAAGUUUAAUUGACAAGCCUAUCCACAAUGACAGGGAAGUGUCUUGAAAUAUUUGGUGAAAAUCUGUUUGAUGUUCAAUAACCCCUAUCUCAAGAUUUCAAACAUAUUGGAAGGAGAUCUAGUCCUAUAUCACACUCCUCGGAAGUAAGCUCCUAUGGACACUAUUCAUUAAAGUGCUAAACAGAAGCCGCAAUGAUAUCUAAUAGAUAAAAAUGUCAAAAAACCUAAUAAUAAAAAGUCUUUUUAUGAGACCAAAGCCCUUGGAAUCUUGAUUCAAAGCUUUAUUAUCUUUGUGAAAGUCAGAUCGUAAGAAUUCUCUAUGUGAAAGCACUCCGAACCGUAUCAGAUGUCAUCUCUUGUGAUAGGUUUUAACCGAUGAAAUACUCGUAUCUCCUAAAUUACUAGGAUUUUUCUUGUCAAAUUUGGCAAAGAUGUUCAUCAUGAAGAGCCUCACAACAUAUUUAAAUUUCAUGAUAAAAUAUUAUAAGGGCGUAUUAAUUUUGUCAUCUACUGAUUUCUGCUCAGAAUGGUGGCAGAGAUGCUGAAACUUCAAGGAGGCAUAUAUCUGUCAGUGCUUAUCAAAAUUGAGUGAGACUUGAUCUAUUUGGUUCAUCUCUGAUUUCUUUAUCAGCUUGCAAAAUUUCAUGGAAAAAGGCUUCUUCAUCAAAAAAUUAUGCUCGUCGAAUUGAAGCAUGUUUAGAUGUUCUAACAGUUUUACAAUUGAAGACCAAAUAUAAUUGAUCUCCUAUGUUUUCUCAUGGUUCAAACUAGUUCAUAUGAGUUUGUUUUAGUUCAAAUCCGAAAUCAAAUAAGUAAAAAAAUAUCCAAAGUAACUGCUUUGAAGGAGAUUUAGAAAUCAAAGAGCUCAAAAUUGUCUCUUACAACCAUCACAAGAUAGAAGAUGUUGAAAACUGUUGAUUUUGGAUAAACGCAAAGGAAGUGCAAGUCUAUCCAUCGGGAACAACUCUCACACUCUAUUUAACCAUUCUCUCAUGCACUUACAAGAGGGGAUUUGGAUAGCAUUAAGAGUGUUUUUAAUAACUUUUCGGAUUCUCCUUGCUGCUAACUUUACUAGAUUCUGGGAAGUAGAUGAAAAUUGGUAGCUUGAAAGCUGGGGACCAUGUUUGAUAAAUUGUGGUAUUAGUAUUUCACCUGAUUGGCAUUGGCAAAGCUCAAACGGAUGAAAACUACAAUAUAGGAGAAAAUGUGAGACUUUCUCCUGUUUUUUCCGUUAUCAAAUGCCCCUAACGUCUAACACCCUUAAGAAAGGGAUAGAGAGACAUCUCAUACUUCACUUAUUUCCUGCACGUUUCUUGCAGACAGAAAGGUGACUCUAAGCACAAUUUCGAUUUCAGAGUUGUGCGAACAUAGAGAGAACAAACAUGAGACGUCCUCACUUACUUGCUACAAGACUCAGAGAAGACCACAAGUGAAGGAAGGUGCCCUUAUAAUACUAGUGCACAUGCAUAUGCACCCAGCCAUUGCCAAGUCUUUUUUCCCUUUCUUUUAUAUCUUCUUUCUUUUGAGUAUGUAGUCUCUUCAAGGCCCAAAUGAAAGGUGCCUAAAUCUAUAUUUUCUUGGGUAAAUUGUAACAGGGAUUUAAAUUCCCUGGAGUUCCUCAUGAACCCAUUGAUUGUAAAAAUCCAUCAUUUCUUUUAAGUAUGUACGUGGUUGUUCUUUGAUGUGAGCAUUUCCCUUGAUUUUCUCAUUUUGCUGAAGUCAUGUUCGUAGAAAAAAGGUCUUUAUUUUUUGCACAUUUUGGAGAUGUAUUGUCAUCCCUAAUUAUAAAAUUUAAAGCUCCAAUAAUGAUGCAGAUUGAGCAAAUUUAUAAAUAAUUAACAUUUUAAAAAAUGGACAAUCCAAAUAAUGUGUCACAGAUUUGUCUAAUAUUAAUGUGUCACAAUCUUAUGUGUCAGAGUAUAUGACUGCCAUAUGGAAUUGUCUCUAUCACAUCUAAUUUAUUAAUUCUCAUUAAUUAAAAUCUAAAUUUAUUCUGAUUUUAUUAUCACUAAAACAAAUUAGAAAGUGCUAAUCUAAUAUUAAGCAUCAAUAUCGGCCAUGUCCUCUCUUUGAUUACCCCUUGCUCUCUCUAAAACAUUGAGUAAUUGUCCUCCAUAUCUCCUUCCAUAAUUUGAAAGCAUUAAUCUAAUAUUAAGCAUCAAUAUCGGAUAUUUCCUCUCUUUGAUUACCCCUUGCUCUCUCUAAAACAUUGAGUAAUUGUUGUGACUACUCAUCCGUCUCAUACAACUCUAAUAGGAGCUUCAUCUUUGUGUUUCUAUUAUUUUGUGUGUGUUGUUUUUUUUUUUUUUUUUUUGGAGGUAAUUGAGUGAGUGGGGAAGACAGGCCACUACCCAUUAUUUCAGAUUAGAGAGUUUGUUUGUUUGAAGGUGUCAUCAUUAGGAUUCAAAACCAUAUCAUGAUAACUAGGUAUGGGGUGCUAUCGUCGAGACCCAGCCCCUUUCCUAUUAUUAUUAUUUUAUAUGUUGCCUUCAGGUAGGUGCACAAACCUCUCUUCGUCUCAUUUUCUCUCUCUCUAAAUACCACCGGGUAAUAUCUCAAUGCCACCAACAAUUCAAUUGCCUAGAAAAACACCACUCCUCUCCACUUAGUUUUUUUUUUUCUGUUCUUUUCAAGAGAGGCCCUUCAGGUUUCUUCAGCGCUUCUAAAUCUCUAAGAUAAGGAGAUCUAUUGUCAUCCUUUAUGUUCACCUUACAUUAUUGAAUGCUUUAGUUUGAUGAAAAAUAUAGAGGAAAUAGUUAAUUUCACGACAUUCAUAUGCAAUAUGCAUAUGAUACACUCAUUUUCUAUAGGGCAAAUUUAGCACUAGUAAAUAAUAUUGUCACAUUUUUUAAUUGUUGUGAAGUGGCUCUUGGGCUGAAAGUUAAUUUGAAUAAGACAUCUAUGGUUGAGAUUGUAAUAAAAGAGUUAGCAAAAGCUAUAUGGGUAUAGGGUAGAUCACUUCCCUCUUACUUAUCUGAGAUUGCCUAUCUCAUAUAAGAGAUUAUCUUGUUCAGUUUGGGAUAAGGUUCUUCAAAGGAUUCAAGUGAAGUUGGAUCUUCGGAAACCUAAAUACUCGUCUUUGAGGGAAGAGCUACUUGCCUUCAAUCAUGUUUCGCUAAUCUCCCCAUUUAUCAGAUGUCAAUCAUUCAAUUGCCCACAUUAAUUGUUAAAAAAAUUGAAAGGAUAAUGCGGAAUUUCUUGUGGGGUACUUUUGGGGACGAAAGAAAAUAUUAUAUUCUAAGAUGGGAUAGGUUGUACUCCAAAAAGAAAAUAUGGUUUAGGUAUUAAAAAAAUAAAAUUGGUAAACCGAGCUCUUCUUUGUAAAUAGUGGUGGUGAAAUCUCCUUUUUAAAGAUCAGCUGUGGUAUAAAGUUCUGGCAGCAAAAUAUAGUAUUGAAAGACAAGGAAUGUGGCUAGGGCCUAGCCGGGGCAAUAACCAAUCCAUUUUUUGGAAACCUAUUGCUCUUUGUAAACCUCUGAUCGCAAGGAAUGUAAGAUGGAUCAUCAGUAAGGGGGAUUAGAUUGCCUUUUGACACCAUAAGUGAGUUUGGAACUAUUCUCUGAAGCUAAUGUUUCCAUAAAUUUUGAGAAAGUGAUAGACCCAAAUUAGGUGUCUGAGGUUUUUGAAGGUAUAGGCAAUCAAGUCAUUUGAGUGUGAAUUUUCCUUACAAUAGGCUUUGUGAUGCUCUUAUUUUGUAGUUAAGCUCUUGGCUGGAUAUUUUGCACAAAGUGUAUAUCCCACAUAAUUCGGAAUAUGAGAUCAUAUGGAAGUAUGAAAGUGAUAAGGUUUUUUCUGUGAAGUCCUGCUACAAGUUGUUAUUCCAUGAUAGAUGGCGAUCGACCUUGCUACAAGUAGCCCAAAUUUGGAAAUGGCUAGUACCUCAUAAAGUUCAAGUUUUUAUAUGGUUGGCUGCCCAAGAUAAGAUCUUUGCCAUUGAUAACUUGAUUAAAAGGGAGAAAAUUUUGCCAACUAUUUAUGUGAUGUACAAGGAAGAUGCAAGUCUUGUGCCUAUUCGUUUUUACACUGCCAUUUUGCUAUUAGGAUUUGGUCUUGGUUUUUCUUACUUUUGGAAAUUAAAAUGCAUUCGCCUCAAAUGUGGGAGAUUUAAAAGGAGCGAAAUAAAAAGGGAGAGCCUUCCUUCUGAUUGGGUUAUUAAUAAAAUAAAACACUCCUUAUGGUAUUGGUCGGCAGCCUCAAAGGAGGGAAAGGCUAUUAUUGAGGUGGAUGUGAUGUUUAAUCUCCAAAAUUUAUUGACCAUGGGAGUGGUCAGUAGCAAGCCAAGGAGUUUUUGGACUCCACCUCCACAAGGGAUGCUAAAACUAAAUUUUAAUGGUAACCCAUUUGGAAAUCCAGGUUUGGCUGGUUUCGGAAGCAUUGUUCAUGAUUGGAAUGGUCAAAUUGUAUUCACAUGUGUUGGGCCCUUAGGUGUUAGGUGAAACAAUUGCAAAUGUUUGCCAUUGUUCAUGGUCUAAAGAUUUUUUGUAACAAAAAUUAGAACAACCAUUGCGUGAUAGAAGGGGACUCUUUGGAUGCUACUAGGUGGUCCAACAAAGAGCAAAAGGUUCAUUGGGAGCUUAAAUCAAUUUGGCUACAUACUCUUGACUUGGUAGAAAAUUUGACUGUCUUUCUGGCAUAUUUUUAGGGAAGCUAACUAUUUAGUGGAUGUUUUAGAUAAAAGGGAAGAUGUUUUAGAUAAAAGGAGAGCUUCUUUGCUUUCGUUUACUAGUUUUGACCAUGUAAUCCCAUUUAGGUAACUUUCUUUAUUUCAAUAAACAAAGAUAUUGAGCGAGAGAGAGAGAGAGGGCAGAUUAUUUUCAUUGGGUUUUUUAUUUGCUUUAUUUUUUUCUUAUUUAAAAGAGAAAUGUCCCUUCAUGGUAAAAAAAUCAGAGAAUAAGAACAAAGUAAAUUUGAUUGUGUAAAAAAAUCGUUUUGGUGUGGAUUCCUUUGCAAAUCUUAAGAGUGUCUAUUCUCUCAACUCUUUUUUUUUUUGGUUUUUAUUAUUCUCAUUUUAUUUUCUCCCCACAACAUUAAUUUAAUUAAUAUUUGUAUUGAAUAAUUUUUAAGCAUUUGAUAAAACACUCAUGUUUAUCUUUAGAUUUAUUACUUUAAUGUUUUUGUUAACUAUAGAGUAUUUCAACAAACAUGCAAAUCUCACCAAGUUCGUGGAAAUCUAUGCUUUGAUUUUAUAUUGUAAAUUCCUACCAUGUAUUUUGUAAAGGUUGCAACCUGCACCACUGUUUGGGCUAGAACCUUGCUCCAGCUGAAUAACAAACCCUUUAGUAAGGUGAAAAGAAGAGUGAUCUCGUAUUAUCAAAUGAUGGUAUUUUCCUUUCAAUACUUUACCAUUAAUUUUUUAUAAUGUUUUUAUAAAUUAGUUUUUUAAGUCAAUUAUUUAUGAACUAAUUAUUCUCCUUGAAGUAAGAAUUAAAUCCACUUUCUUUGGAUGAUAGGUAAUGCUAAUCUAAGUGGACCGCAAGGCAUGCUAGCAUUGUAUUUUUAAAUAUCGGUAUUUUUUCUAAUACUUUGCUAUAAAUUUUUUAUUAUGAACUAUCUAAAUUUUCAAAUUCAUUUUGAUAGAACUUUUAAUUAAUAAUUCUGGCAUUAAAAAAGCGACUCCUUUUAAAGGUUUAGUUAGCAAUUUGUAAUUCCUAAUAUGAUUAUAUCAUUUUGUAUGUUAUAUUCUUUUUAAACAUUAUGCAUUCCGAGACUUUUGAAUAACUAUUAUUUUCAAUUGUAUAUUUUCAUUAUUCAUAAUUAACUUUUUUAUGUUCUCCACUUCUCUAGAAUAUCUUGUAAUUUUUUAAAAAAAAAUUUGCCUUUUCAUAAUUUAUUUAAAUUAAAUAAUCUAAUUAUUAAAUUUUGUAUUUUAGAAAUCAUUUAUGGCUAUCAUUUAAUUUUAUUAAUGAGUCGGAUUAAUAUGAUCUAAAUUACUUUAUGGGUGCAAUUUAUAUAAAUCCGAGGCAAUAUAGUGUUGAGAAAAGUGGUUCCAAUAUUAGAAAUUUUUUACCAACCUUAAAAUAUAUUUUUUAUACUUGAUUAUAAAAUUUAAAGCUAGAUAAGACAGAUCUAUGGAAGCUUGACUAACUUAAAAUUGACUAACUUUAAAAUUGACUGUCCAAAAAUGCAUUACAAGAUACAUUAUUUCCAAAAGUUGUAAUCUAUUUUUUUCUCAAAUCCAUGCAUCUUAAUGUCGAGAUUAUCAAUUUGAGGAUAUUUGGGCAACAAAACCACCUCUCUAGUGAAAUUUUUGAGGUACACUCUAAUUUGAUUGUGUAGAAACAAGGCCCUAUAUAAACUUUUCUUAUAUUCACACUUUAUAACAUUGUCAUAUCUAUAUAAUUUAUUAAAUUUUAUUGUUAUGUUUGAGCUAACAUAAAAAUUAAUUAACAUAUUGUUUUGGUUUGUUUUAAACCUUGAGAAAAAGGCAAAUCAAAUACGUGCCCUUGUACUCUCAAUUUUAUGUUCUUAAGGUUUAAAACAAACUAUCAUACAAGUUUUUUUAUUUAAAAAGGGGAGAGAGUUAUUAUAUAAGACAACUUUAAACAAUUAAAGAAAGGUGCAACUUUAUAACAUCAUGAAAGAUGCAAUUUCAAUACCAAAAAUCUUUGCAAUUACAUGAAAACCUAUUGUUAACUUUCUUUUAUAAAACUUAAAGCUUAAAAAUUUAUUAUCCUCCCUUUUUAUAAAAUUUAAAGCUCCAAAAAUGCUAUAGAUCAAGCAAAUAUAUAAACAAUCCAUAAAAUAUAUCACAAUGUACUAAUUUCAAAACUUAAAUUUCUUUUUUCUUCUAUAUCCAUAUCUCGACCUUAUAUCUCCACCUUAAGAUGUACUACUUUCGUGACUUGAAAUCUUACACUUUUCUUCCAUACAAAAACAAAGGAAAAGACAACCAAAAAUCCAGAUUAACUUGAGGGUGUUCCAGCAUUAUAACACACUCAGGGUUUUGAAUUAGCGUGGGUGCGUCUUACUUAACUCUAUAAGGUUGACACUUUUUUUUCCUUUGAAAAAACUCGUUGUGGGGUUAACCAAACAUCAAGUGGGAUUCAGGCGCACUAACCACUAGAGAGCCCAAGAACAGAAUCAUUUCUGGGGCAAUCCCAAUCUGGAUCAAUAUGAAUAACAAAAAAUCAAUUAAAAAUACAUAAAAAUCAAUUAAAAAUAUAUAUAAACCACUAAAUGAACUUCAUUUCAGAUAGAAGAAAAGUGAUCAAUGGACGUGAGUAAAAAAGAUAAAAAAGAGAAGAGAACCGCUGACCGUUUGAUCUAAAACCAACUCAGUAUUUAUUUUAAUUCUUUCCACAAAUCAUAUGAAUAUGAACCACUGAUUAUUUGAUCUAAAUCCGACAUGAGUACUUUAUUUUAAUUUUUUCUACAAAUCAUAUGAAUAUGAAAUUUGAUAAGAAGAUCUAAAGAAAUAUUAAAAUUUAUUUUUGAUAAAAAUACGACCAAAAUACCCCUAAAACUUUUAUGGGAAUUAUGAACAUUUUUUUUUAUUGGGUUUUUUUUUUUUAAUACGAGAGUUUAAGAGGACCAAAAUUUAGUGUCUCGCAGAAAAAAAUUAAAAAUAAAAUAGUGUAGAGGCAGAAAUAUAGAAAAGCCUGCCCAAAAAAUAAAUGUCUGCCCUAAGCUCUUAGAGGUCCUCCAAGAGAAAACUAUAACAACCAAGUCAAUGUGAAUUAACAUAAAAUAAAAAUAACAAAAAAACUCACAAGAGAAAGAUAGAAUAACAGCACAGACAAGCCAUCAAAAACCAUCAAAAGGAGUGCAACCAACCAGACAUUUUGAUACAUAGAGAAAGAGAGAGGGGGGGAGGCUGUUUCUCUCUUCAGAAGAGAGAGGAAGGCUCAGCAGGGUUGAGCGGAUGAAUGAGGUAAGUGAGGACCAAGGCCACCAACAUCAGCACGUAAGCAAUCCCCUGAUCAAUUGUUGUCCCUAUAAAACAUCAAUCCACAUGUCAAUCUACAUUAUUAUUACAAACUACUUCAAGAUUAGAUAUUGCUGCAAUUCAAAAACAAAAACAAAAACAAAAAAAUCCCAUUCCGUUAAAACAAAGGAAAAGACAACCAAUUACCUCAAGAUAUAGGGCUCAGAAUCAAGGGAAGGAUAGUCCAUAAAGAAAUUUUGCAAAACAAAGAAAACAAAAAGAGAAAAAGCACACAAUGGGGACAAGGGAAUGACAAAUAAUGUAUCAAAUCUCCAAAUGGAUGGUGGUGAUAAACUUUCGACCCUCUAGUACACUAUUCAAAUGGAUGGUUCAAGCGUAGCCAUCCUUGUAAAACUACAUGCCCAGAUUAUUGUUAGCAAAAUUGCUCGAUCUAACUGCUAACCACCCAGUUAGAUCGAAACCGGACAGUGGCCGGUUUAGGGUCAUCAACCGGUAUUUUAAAAAAAUAUUCAAAAAAAUGUAUAUAAGUUCUAAAACUUAAGGAAUUUGAUUUGUAAUAUAUUUUUAAAUAUAAAAUGGGUUAAAAUUCAUUUUUUUCGUCAAUUUUCAACUUCAUUUGAAUGUUUUUUGUUUUAGUCAUUUUUUAUAUGCUUCUUAUAUUUUAGUAGAUUUUUUUGUAUUUAUUUAUUUAUUUUUUACCGCCCCUUGCUCCGAUUAGAGCGGUUGAAUCGGCCGCAUAAACCGAGGCCCAUGUCCGGUUAACCUGUUCGAUUUUGCAGCCAGAUUAUACAAAAAAAGAAAUAAACAAAGAUCUCUCCAGUCCAAUGUUAAAUAUGAAAUAGGAAAAAAAAUAUAAAACAGAAAAUGCAGCAGGCUAAAACAAUAAUGUAAAUAUAUUGGAGUUAGAGACAUACGAAUAAUCUUUUAAAAUUUCUCAAAAGUAAAAAAUAAUCUUUUAAAAGCAAUAGAGAAGGAAGAAUGGGCAAGAAAAGCGACAAUUAAUGCAGGUGGGCCUUAGAAAAUAAAGCAACACAUCAACAAUUUUUUCCAUUAAUAUCGUUUUCAAUGAAAAGGAAAUCUCAUUUACAAACCAAAUCAAUGAUAACAUUGCAGACACAUGUGAAACAUAAUCUUGCACUACUGAUGGGCAAAGCCGAAAAAGAAAAACAGAGAUCAAAUAAAAAACACAGGAAAAUACCACAUGUAAUCACGACAAAGAGAAGAGUUGCUUCCGAUGAAACCAGAAGAGCAUAAGAUGUAACGGCAUUUAAAGAAAAUACCAGAUCCGGAUCCUAGAAACCACAUUCCACCCCAAAAAAAAAAAUAGAAAAAACCGUGAGCAGUAAACCACAUUCCCAUCAAGAAAACCUAAAAAAAAAAGAAAAUCACUGAUCAGAAAGAGAGAGAGAGAGANNNNNNNNNNNNNNNNNNNNNNNNNNNNNNNNNNNNNNNNNNNNNNNNNNNNNNNNNNNNNNNNNNNNNNGAGAGAGAGAGAGAGAGGAACGAAAGAAUGAAUAUGAGGCCGUGAAGAAAGCCUCUGCUCUUUGCAAAAGGCUCUCCACACGCCACAGGGAAGAAAAGGAGAAGACCUCUCUCUCUCUAAUAAAGAAAAAAAGGCCUCCUAGGGUUUCUUUAAUUUCUUAUUAGAAAGGAACAGAGGAAGAGAGAGAGAGUUCUGAAAACAAAAGCCUGUUUCAAUGAAAACAACUUCAUUAUACUGGUAUAUAUAUGAUGAGCGAAAC